GGAUGAAUGAGCCCCGAAGAUACAAACUCCCUUCCCACCUCUUACAAAAAUACUUCCAGCGAAAACAAGCACUUUGGGCCUUUCUACUUUCUAUGAGUGCACAUUUCAGCAGAUCCUUCUUUGCUUUCUUGUUUAAGUUUAUGUCUUUAGUCCAGUCCUCAAACAGAUUUUAAACGCUUUGAAGGCGGAGGACUCAUCCCUAAAACCUUGAAAUCUCCUGCCUGGCCGAAUAGAUGCACAGUGAGUAUCUUUGGAUGAUGGCGCUAAGGAAUGGUUAAUCACCACCCAAGGCCUCUAGUUGGUCAUGUUGUCAUUUAUGGGCUCAUAAUAAUCCUUGGAUUCUAUGUCUUCAACGCACUUCCCAAACAGUUCAAUACAGAGAGACUGCCAGGCAGUGGUUGAGCGUUAUUAAUAAAAAUAACUGAUGUAUUAGAAUUCAUGGUAAAGAUAGGAAUGCUUCCUUUUCCGAUGUUUCUCAGGGUUACUGCUGAUAAUAGUCAGCAGUUUGUUAAAAGUUUUUUUUUUUUUUUAAGUCUUGAGCUCAUUUUGUUACCCAUCAAAAAUGAGGACUCGGUGAAACAUUAAUUUUCUAAAAUUGCUGCAUAUUUAAAUGUGAUUGUAAUUGCUCCUUAACGUUUUAAAAUUAUAACAUUGAUACCAAAUGCUUUAGAAUCCAAAGAACAAUCUAUUGGGCUUGGCAUUUUUUGUGUGAAAUAGUCUAUAACAUAAUGGCUAGAUGGCUGGAUUAUCCCAUCCAUAUUAUUUGGCUUCACCUAAAUGCCACGUUUCCACAUUAGAGGGAGGGGGGAAGCUCAGGAGGCUUAAAAUAGAUUGCAUGUUUAGUUUUCUCCUUCUCCUCCACUAGACUUGUAGGUAUACUACUUAGGUAUGUCAUUUCAAUAAUCGCGUUAGCUGCCUAGCCACACUUUAGAAUUACCCCAUGAACUUUGAAAAAAUACCGUUGGCUAGAGGUGGUAUAGAGAGGUCUCUUAUAUCUUUCACUUUAUUUCCACCCCUGGUUACAUUUUAUAUACCUUUUCUUACAUUGGAUGUAUCUAUAAUAAAAAUCAGGAAAUUGACAUUGUUGUAAAGUGUUCCUGUAAUUCUACGUCAUUUCACCACCUGUAGAUUUCUGUAAGUUGAUGGUGAUUGUAGCACAAUCAAGACAGAACUCUUCCAACACCACAAAGUUCUUCCUCCUGUAAUCCCUUUAUAGGUUCCUUCCUCUUCACACCAUUCCCUAACCCCUGGCAACCACGAAUCUGGUCUCCAUCUCGAUUAUUUUGUCAUUUUGAGAAUGUACAUAAAUUGAUUCUUAGAGCUUGUGACCUGAGAUUUUCUUCCGCAUUCAGCAUCAUGCCCUUGAGCCAUCCAUACAAGUUGAUGCAUAUAGUAACAGUUUAUUCCUUUUUAACUGAGAUGUAUUCCAUCAUAGGGAUGUAGCACACUAAUUAUUCAUCUAUCGUAGGACAGUGUGGUUGUUUCCUUCUUGGGGACUGUUACAGAUAAUGCUGCCGUGAACAUUUUUGUACGUACAGGUUUUUGUGUGGAUGUAAGUUUUCGUUUCUCUGGGAUAAGUGCCCAGGAGUGUGAUUGCUGGCUCAUAUAGUAAGUAUAUGUUUAGUUUUUAAGAAUCUGCCAAACUAUUUUCCAGGAAUGCUGUACUAUUUUACUUUCCUAGCAGCAAUGCACGAGAGAAUCAGUUUCUCCCAUCUUGUCAGCAUUUUGUAGUUCAACUAUUCUGAUAAGUGUGUACUGAUCUUUUACUGUGGUGUUAUUAAUUUGCAUUUCCCCAGUGAUUAGUGAUGUUGAACAUCUUUUUGUGUCAUUACUUGCCAUUCACAUAUUCUCUUCAAUGAAAUGUCUCUUCAUGUCUUUUGCCCAUGUUCUCAUCGGAUUGUUUGUUUUGUUGCUAUUGUUUUGAGAGUUCUUCAUAAUUUCUAGAUGUGAGUCCUUCAGCAGACAUGUGGUUUGCAAGUAGUUUGUCUUAGUUUUUCAUCCUCUUAAAGAGAUCUUUUGGAGAGCAAAGUCUUUAAUUUUGAUGAGAUCUGAUCUUUUGAUUUUUCCUUUUAUGGAUCAUGCUUUUGGUGUCUAGUCUAAGAACUUUCCACCAAAUGCUAAAUCCUGAAGACUUUCUCCUAUGUUUUCUUUUAGAAGUGUUACAGUUUUACAUUUUACAUGUGAGUUCAUGAUCCAUUUUAAGUUAAUUUUCAUGUAAGGUGUGAAGUUUAGAUAGAAGUUCACGUUUUGCCUAUGAAUAUCCAAUUUAUUGAAAGACUAUUAUUCCUUCAUUGUACUGCUUUGAGCACCUUUGCAAAAAAUCAGUUGGUAGUCUUUAUGGGGGGUCUAUUUUGGGCUUCUCUGUAUUGUUCUAUUGAUCAGUAUGUCUAUCUCUCCAUAAGUACCACACUAUCUUAACAACCGUGGCUAUGUGUAUAAAUUCCCUUUGUGUAUAUACAUGCAUUAUUUAUAUAAAUAAAUGCAUAUAUAGAGAGAGAUGCAUAUAGAGAAUACCCAUGUGGGUAUAUAUGUGUGUGUGUGUGUGUGGCUAUUCUAGUUCUAUUCCCUUUCUAUAAAAAGUUUGGUAUAAUCUUAUGUAUAUCUGCAAUAAAUCUUGCCUGGAUUUUGAUAGGUAUUGUAUUAAAACUAUACAUCAAUUUGGGAAGAAUUGACAUCUUUACUAUGUGAGCUCUCUCACUUUAUGAACACAGUAUGUGUCUCCACUUAUUCAGAUCCUGUUUGAUUUCCUUCAUUAGCAUUUUGUAGUUUUCAGCAUACAAGCUCUGAACAUGUCUAUUAGAUUUACACCUAUGUAUUGUGCAAUUGCAAACGUUAGGGAUUUUUAAUUUCUGUUUGCAUGUGCUCGCUGCUUCUGUGUAGAGAUUGACUUGAUUUUUGUAUGUUGAUCUUGUAUUCUAUGACUUUGCUGUACUCACUUAUUUGUUCCGGGAGGUUUUUUGUUGGUUUGUUGGUUUGUUUUGGAUUCCUUGGGAUUGUUUUACAUAGAGUAUCAUGUCAUGUAGGGAGUUUUAGUUCUCUGUUUUAUUUCCUUUUCUUGCCUUAUGGGUUAGAACUUCCAAUACUAUAUUGAGUAGCAAUAGUGAAAUGGAACAUCCUUCCUUAAUUCCUGAUCUUAGAGGGAAGGCCUUCAAUCUUGCAUCAUUAAGUAUGGUGAUAGUUAUAGGUUUAUUUAUUUUUUAAGUUUUAAAAAUCAAUUUGAGGAAGUUCCCCUUAUUCCUGGUUUUCUGAGAGUUUUCAUCAUGAAUCGAUACUGAAUUUUGUCAAGAACUUUUUGUGCAUCAGUUGAUAGGAUUUGUGAUUUUUCUUUUUUAGCCUAUAAAUAUGGUAGAUUAUAUUGAUUGAUAUACAAAUGUUGAGCCAUCCUUGUAUGCCAGGAAUAAAUACCACUAGGUCACAGUAUAUAAUUCUGAGCUGACAUAGUGGUAAAAUCCAUUUGCUAAUAUUUUGUCAAGGAUUGCUGCAUUUAUAUUCCUGAGGGAUAUUAGUCUAUAGUUUUUUUCCUCUUUCUUUUCUUUUCUUUUCUUUUCUUUUUCUUUUUCUUUUUCUUUUUCUUUUUCUUUUCUUUUCUUUUCUUUUCUUUCUUACUCCUUAUUUCCUUCCUUCCUUUCCUUCCCUUCCUUCCUUCCUUCUUUCCUUCCUUCCUUCCUUCCUCCCUCCCUCCCUCCCACCCUCCUUCCCUCCCUCUCUCUCCCUCUCCUUCCCUCUCUCUCCCUCUUUCUUUCUUUCUCUUUCUUUCUUGACUAUAUUUGUCUAGCUUUAGUAUCAGUAUAAUAUUGGCUUCCCAAAAUUAAUUGGAAAGUGUUCUAUCUUUUCUAUUAUAGGGAAUAAAGUACCUAGUAAUUGGUGCUAAUUCUUUUUUUAAAUUUUUGGUAUAAAAUGUUUGGUACAAUCUGAACGUGGAGAUUUCUUUUUCUGGAAUUUGAAAAUAACACAUCCAGUUUCUUUACUAGGUAUAAUGCUAUUCAUAAUACCUAUUUUAUAUUAUGGGGGUGGGAUUGCUGAUGCUUUUUUAGGAACUGGUUUAUGUUAUCUAAGUUGUCAAAUUUAUGUGUGUAGUAUUCUCUUGCUGUUCUUUGAUGUCUGGAGGAUCUGUAGUGAUAUCAGAUAUUUCUGUUUCAUUCCUAAUAUUAUUAAUUUGCGUCUUUUUCUUUUCUUUGAUAGUCUUGCCAGAUAUUUGUCAAUUUUAUUGUUUUUUCCCAAAGAACAAUGUUUUGUUUCACUAAUUUUGUCUCUUUUUCUGUUUUUAGUUUCAUGGAUUUCUACUCAUAUCAUUAUUAUUUCUUUGUUACUUUGGGUUUACUUUACUCUUUCUUUUCUAGGUUCUUGAGAUGUAAUUUUGGAUUUUUGUUUGAGAAUUUUCCUGCUUUCUAAUAUGUUUUCAGUACUGUAAAUUUUCCUCUCAAUGCUGUUUUUGCUGCAUCCCGUAAGUUUCACUUUCAUUCAGCUCAUUGUAUUUUUUUAAUUUUCAUUGAGGCUUCUUCUUUGACUUUUGGGUUACUUAGAAGGGUGCUGUUUAGUUUCCAGGUGCUUGUUUAUUUUCCUGUUAUCUUUCUGUGGCUGAUGCCUAGUUUGACUUCAUUAUUAUAAGAGGACAUACUCUAUGUGAUUUAAUUCUUUUAAAUCCCUUGGGGCUUGUUUCCAAGUCUAGGAUUUGAUCCAUGUGUUAUAUCAGUUUUUGUUCACUGAAGCUCUGUUAUUUGGUGCAUAACAUUUAGAAUCACUAUGUCUUCUUGGUAAAUCAACCCUUUUAUUAUUAUGUGAUGUCCUGUCCCCCUCUGUCCCUUACAAUUUUUCUUGCUUUGAAGUCUAGUUUUCUAAUGUUAAUGUAGCCUUUUUUAAAAUUCUUUUUUGAUGAAUGAGUGCAUGGUCUAUCUUUUUCCAUCCUUUUACUUUCAUCCUACCUUUAUGAGUAUAUUUGGUUGUUUCUUUUAAGUUUAUUUACUUAUUUUGAAAGCGAGAGCAUGAGCAGGGGAGAGGUAGAGAGAGAGAGGGAGAGAGAGAGAAUCCCAAUCAGGCUCUGCAUUGUGCAGAGGCUGAUGUGGGGCUUAAACACAUGAACCAUGAGAUCAUGACCUGAGCCAAAAUCAAGAGUCAGAUGCUUAACUGACUGAGUCACCCAGGUGCCCCUGUAUCAGUAUUUGAAGUGAGCUUCUUGUAAACAGCAUAUUGUUGGGUCAUCUCCUUAUUUUUUGUCCAUUCUGUUAGUCUUGCUUCCUUAGUUGGUAUAUUUAGGCCAUUUACAUUAAAUUUCAUUAUUGACAUGACAAGUCUGCGAUCUUAUUUUUAUUUUACGUUUGUUCUCUUUUUCAUUUAUCUUCUUUCUUUUUCUUGCUUUCCUGCAGAAUACUCGAACCUUAAAAAAUGCCCUUUUGAUUUGUCUGUUGUGUUUUUGAGUGUCUCUUUGUAUGGCAUUUUUAGUGGUUGCUCUAGGAUUUCAUUAUAUAUACAUAACUUAACACAGUCUACUGAUAAUAGCAAUUUACCAACUCAAGUGAUAUGUUGAAAUUUUUUCUUUUAUACCCCUUUACUUUCCUUCACUUACAAUAUAAUUUCUUAAGUAUUUCCUGUAUACAUUUAGAACCUCCUAAGAUAGUGUUAUCAUUUUUGUCUCAAUAGUCAAACAUUAUUAAAAAACUGAAGAGGAAAAAGAAAACCUAAUGCACUUAUCCAUAUUUUUAUUAUUUCUGUUGCUUUUCUUCAUGAUAUUCCAAGAUUCCUUCUCUUAUCAUUUCCUUUGUGUUUAGAAAAUUCUUUAGCUGUUCUUUUAGGGUAUGUCUCUUGUGGCAAAUUAUCUUAGUUUACCUUCAUUUGAGAAUGCCUGGAUUUACCCUCCAUCCCUGGAAGAUAUUUUUGGUGGAUAUAGAAUUCUGGGCUUGACAGUUCUUUUUUCCAGACUAGAAAAAUAUCGUACCACUUCCUUCUGGCCUCCAUGCUUUUGGGUGAGAAGUCUGCUGUCACGUUGGUGAUAGUCUUUCCCCCUAUAAAUAAGAUGCUGCUUUUUCCUUGCCACUUUAUUUAUUAUUUUUUCUUUAGUUUUCAGAAGUUUGACUGCAAGGAAAAACUUGUGGAUUUCGUUAUCCCGCUUGUUUAUCCCUCUUGUUUUCACUUACCUUCAUGAAUCUGUUGGUUACUGCCUUUUGCCACAUUUGGGGAUUUUUCAGCCAUUAAUUUUUUUAAAUACGUCUUCAACCCCAUCCUCUUUCUCCUUCCUGAUCUCCAAGGAUUUGAAUAUUAGAUGUCUAAUGUUGUUGUACUACCAGUCUCUGAGGUUCAGCUCAUUUUUGAAAAACCUAUUUUCUCUCUCUUCCAGAAUGCGUAACUUGUAUUAUUAUGUUCAAGAUCAUUGAUUCGUUGUUUUAUCCCCCCAUUCACCCAUUGGUUUUUUGUUUUGUUUUGUUUUGUUUUGUUUUGUUAUUGUAUUUUCCAAUUCUAUAAUACCCUUUUGGUUCCUUUUUAUAUCUUUGUUUUCUGUGCUGAGACUUCCUAAUUUUUUGUUUCAAGCAUGUUCGUAGUUGCUUAUUAAAACAUUUUUAUGAUGGCUGCUUCAAACUCUGUGGCGAUAAUCUUGAUAUCUUUGUCAUUGCAGUGUUGGUGUCUAUCGGUUUUCUUCUCUCAUUCAAGUUAAGAUUUUUUUGACUCUUGUUACGAAGAGUGAUCUUCUAUUGAAACUUGGAUGUUAGGGGUGUUAUGUUGAGACUCCGGAUCUUACUUAGAACUUCUGUGUUAGAAGGCCUCUAACACAGAUCUGAAAGGAAAGGAAGGGUCGGGGGAGAGGGAGAAAGGUGCUGCCUUAUUGCUGCCUGGUAGGGGUGGAAGUCCAUGCCUCUCUUGACACCGGCAAGGAAGUGACUCCCCACCAGGACUCCGUGGGGCAUGACGGCUUCAUUACUGUUCCCCACGUGGCCCCUGCUGACAUUGUGAAGUGGGGGUGGUCUUGUUACUGGGUGGUGGUGAAAGCCCUGACUUUCCAGUAAGCCUUCUUGACACCCUCCAGUGGGGAAGGAAGGAACACUUUUUUACUUCUGAAUGGCGGGCAGGUCCAGGCUCCUCCCAUGGUCCAAUGGACACCGUUGGGGAGUCCCCUUAUUGCCUUGUGGGGAUGAGAGUCUCAGUGUUCUACUUUCCUUCUCUGACACCACUCAGGUGAGUCUGUUGGGGUACAUGGCAAGGGUAGAAGUCUAGGCUCCCACUCACUUUUUCGCUGAUGGAGGUAGGGAUGGAGCCAUAGUUUUCUCUGUGGUAUUUGCAGUAAAGCCAUUACUGUCUAAGCAUUUUCUGUCUGGCUACAAUACCCCCUUGUCCUUUGUCUACAGAGAGCAGGCUUUUGUUGAGGCUUUUUUUGGUCUGUGCUUUCUGGCAUUUCCGGAUUGCCGCCUCCCCAGCACCUCAUCGGGGAUAUUGGAGGCAAGAAGAAAGCCCAGGGAAUGCACUGUGUAUUGUUCCUCAGAUGCCUAGUUCCCGAACUUGUUUACCUAUUUCUCUCCACUUUGUCUUCAGUCUUCUUAUGUUUGUUUUUUUGCAUAAUGUCCAGAGCUUGUAGUUUUACUUAGGGGGAGGAAUACAGAAAAGUGUGUCUAGUCCAUCUUUCUGGAAACAGAAGGCCCAAUGUUUUCUAAAAGCAGCCUGGAUGAUUCUAAAAAAGUAUAGUCAGAGUUGAGAACCUCUAUCUGUUUGACAUUGUAGGUUAUGGCAGGGUCUUGGUUUCUAUUUCCGUUAGGUUUGGGACUAUUUUCAAAUAAUUCUAACAUAAGUGGAUUUUGUCUUGGCCAGCAUUGGAAAUACUUUCAAGAAGAGAACAACAUCUUAUUCUUUGGAAGGCAGCUGAGCCCAGUGGCAGGCUUAGACUUUUGGAUCAGAGAAGCUGUAUUAUAGUCAGAAUUUUGGUAAGGUUCUUAUCUUUUUAAAAGUCAAUAAAAAUUAAUUCAUGGUAUUUUCAAGAUUAAACAUGUAAAAGAUAUAUCACAGAGCAAGACCAACAAAUAAUAUAUGUUUAAAUAUUAGCUCUUUCUUCCCAUGGCCGCGCUCAGUGUAGCACUUGUAUAUAGUGAUUACGGAAGCUAAAUAUUUGGGAUGAGUACUUGUAUCAGAGGGCUUACCCUGAAAGCCUUUUAACCUUAGACUCAGUAAUAGUCAGAAAAAAUAGUUCUGGGGAAGAUAUCAUUGUAGAAAUAGAAAUGUGGAUUUUUUUUUUUUUUUAUUGAUCUAGGGCAGAAGGCAUACAGGGUAGCAGUGUAAGUCAAUAAGAAUGACAACUGACCUUGCAAAAAAGAGGUAAAAAUGACUGUGGUCUAACUGAAUAGGGAAGGAAGUAAAACCAUAGCAGGAAUUAAAGAACUGGGUGAACACUUAGAGGUUAAGGGCCUGGAAGUUUCAUUAAGCAACAAUUCUCCCUACUUCACUUUGCCAUUUUCUUUUGAGAGUUCCUUUUCUUUCCCUAUUCCUUAAAUAUUGGUGUCAUUUGAAGCUCCACCCUCCUCUUCCCAUGGGUACUGACCCUGGAUAAUCUUGUCCAGUUCAAAGUGGUAUGAAAAAGCUGAAAGAUUCCAAUUUAUAUCUUGAGCUCAAAUCUCUCCCUUAAGCUCUAGACUCAUGCAGUGGAUCUCUGAUUAUCCAUGGAUGUCUCCCUUUGGGUGUGUCACUGGCUUUUCAAUUUCAACAUGUCCAGAUUCUACCUCUCAUUUGUGUUCUCUGUCUCAUUAAAUAGCACCCGCAUUAAUUCAGAUACCAAAGCCAGAAACUCCGGUGUCAUCAUUUUCGGCAACAAGCAACUAGGAACUCCUCACAAAUUACAUUGAGCACUAAGGGAAGUAAUGUCGGAAGGAGGCCAAAAUAGGUCAGUGAGGAGGUAAAAUCACCUCUGCACUUUCAAAACUCAUACCCCCUGACCAUCCGCGUACGUUACGGGAUACCUGAUGGAAGUGUUAGUCUUGUCCUUAGUGUCUAGACCAGUUAUUGCCGGUAUUUGAAAUUUUCCAUUUCCUAUGCUUUCUAGAACAUCAUAUCCUCUCAUACUGUCUGUGUUUUUGCUUCUUCCUUUAAAUUUUAGGGUAAUCACCGCUGCAAGUGGAGCUCUUCCUGUGUUAGUUAGGAUGAAGAAUACGUUAGAGUAGAAUCUAUAGGAACAAAGGUUUCUCUCUGGCUUCUGCUGCAUGUCCAUCGUGGGUUGGCUGAAGACAUUGCCCUGAGUCGUUUUCUUCCAAGUCUGAGUAAGGCUGAUGGAGCCUCUUCCAUCUGGAGAGUUGUCUGUUGCUAGGCCGCUAACAAGUGGGGAAGCAGGUAUUCCUACACUGGCUCUGAGAGUUUAUUAUCAACGGCGUCAUCUUCUAAAAGCCAAAGGAUGUCACAUUACCCUGCUCAACUUCACGUAGGUUGGGAAGUGGAGUUUUACUCUAUGCCAGGAAGGCAGAAGACUAGAGUAGCUGCUGGACAUCCCUCAUGACUCACUCAAGCCUCCUCUGCUGGCAACUUUCCCUCCCUUUCUUUCUCCCUCACUUCUUCUCUCCCUCCUUCCCUCCUUCCUUCUCUUACUCCCUCCCUUCCUUCCUUCUCCGCUUCCUUCCUUCCUUUGACUUAUAAAUGACUCAAAAACAUUCCUGGGAAUGCCGCAAAAAUGGGAAGCUAAGCACUCAGUACUCAGGAUGGUUGCAAGUAUUUAAAAAAGAAAUUGACAUUGCACUCUAACUGCCCAGUUAGUGGUUCUGAGGACAGCCUGACUAUGCACGGUGAUCUAAAGUACCACAGACAAUAGAAUCGGGGCCUGAAGAGACUGCAGGCCACAUUAAAGUUUCAGCACAUACCCAAAGUGCAUCUCUCAGCCCUUAUCCUGUAGCUCUGGGGCACCGAUGUUCGCUAUUCGUUGCAUGAAUCACCGUGGCAAUUGAUGAAUAUAAAAAUUCCGUGUAUAUUUUUCCCUUGAGGGUUUUAAAAUGUUUGGUUCUGAAGAAUCCCUUUUGCUCUCUGUGACUGACUCUGUCUCUCUCUUUCGUUCUCUCUCUGUUUUUCUGUCAGAUCUAGGCAACAAGAAAGCAUUUACUCUUUUCUGUAAUUUUAACAGCUUUUUAACAGAUCCAAUACAUUUGAAAACGUCUGAAAAUCUGACUCCUGACAAAACAGGACUCCAUAGUACAUUCGCUAUGUAGGCAUUUACGUCAAAUCAGUUCCUUUUGUGUUUUCCACAUUGGCACGCUCACAUUCACUGCUAGCACUGUGUCUCCAGAAGUGAGAGUAUAUCACAGCCGAUGGCCAGUUUCAUACUGUAAUGAGGAACAGCCAUCUGUAGAUAUGAACUGGGACACCAGCCUCAUCAUAGACCACUUGCUAACAUUAAACCAGUGCUAAGAGUUAAGCAGAAUGAUAGAAAGGAAAUUCAUAUGUGUGUGUGUGUGUGUGUGUGUGUGUGUGUGUAUUUUUUCUUCCACUCUGCCCCAUGUCCCCGGAUCCACGCAUCUCCAUGGGGUGUCCCAGUUAUUUGCUGUCAGCACCAAGUCACAUCUAUGUCCCUUAUAUUCUGGGGGGACCUCCCAACCCACUGUGCUUGAACUAGUUAUCCUACGACCAUGUAUUAAAAAAAGAAAUAACCUUACAAUCAUUUGAAACAAAUGCCAAUUAUUACUUUUAAAAAGCUACCUGCUUUCAAUUAAGCAGGAAAUUAUCUAAGAAGCCACUUAAUUUGCUUUGGUCCGUAGUCCCCCAACUGCUUUAUGCUGAGUGGAGCAUGAAAUUAAAUAUGUAACAACUCUCCUAAUGGCUGUGUUUCAGAAUGCCAACAUUUUAGAAUCUUAGGUAUUCUGAGUGGGAACAAAUACAAAUCAAAGAAUAUGAGAAUUGAAUUUGAGGGAAAAAAAAAGAAAAUAUUAAUGCCCUCUAUAUAUUUGCAUAUAGAUGAUAUGUGUUUUAAAACUGUAAAGUUUUAAAGAAUGUAUUUGCUAUUAAUUUUUAUAUUCAGGAAGGGUAGCAGUUCAUAUAUGGAAAAAUCUCUCUGACUUAAAAUAAAAUGCCACCAGCCCCCCUCCCCCUAUGGAAAUUCUUACAUCAUUUUCUUGGGUCCAAAUGCAAAGUAGAUUAUGUAGGGAUAGAUUAAGUGAGAAGGUCAUAAUGAAUUUUUACCAUUUGCUGAAGAAAUGCUAAUACCAAUCCCUCGUUCGAAGUAUUCAUCUUUGUUAAGAGCCAAGAACACAUACUGAAACUGUUUAUGGAGACAUAUAAGGGCACUAGUUUAUGCAGGAAAUUUUAAAAGCAUUACUGAAGCGACACUUCAAUCAGUACUUAACAAUGUUGUAAAUGCUAGAUGGUUCUCACAGCCUCUUAUUUAUUUAAAACAUUUUUUUACAACUUUAAAACUAUUUUUAUACGAGAUAAAUCUUUUCAAACACUAAUCAUAUUACAAGUAAACAUUUUAAAAAUCUCUGUGUAAAUGCGGAUGAAAGCGUACAUAUUCUUUUGCAGUCUGUAUUCCAAACCAACUCUUUUCUUUAUUUCUGUUUUAAAACUAGGUUAGACAUGCUGCCAUUUUACCGGGAAAUGUUGACAAACCUCUAGCAGAAUGUGACCGGAUAUCUCUUCCCCUCAUGGGCGAAGCCAGGCAAGUUGGAGCUGAGAAAGCAUGCACGGCCCUAACGUUACCCUGACAUUUGUUACCUCACUCUGAAAAUGCUUAAUAUUCUGGUUUCUUUCCCCCCAAUGUAGCUAUACUCAGUGAUAUUGUUAAAAAUGGUUCCCAGUUUUAGAAAACUGUUAUCUAUAAGAAUUCUCUGAGAAGCUGCAAAAAAGAUAUCAUGGCAAUUUAUGGGGUUUUGGCUACUUUUCUAGAACCAAAGUUCUCCUGCAUUUGUUCUUGAGCUUUUUUUUGAUCAGAGAAAGAGCACAGACCUCAGUCACAGAAUCCUGAUGCCAGAAUCUGUGUGACCUACAGAGAGCUACCUAACCUCUCUGGGCCAGAAGGCUAUAAACUGUAACACUGUUUUGCAUACACAAUGGGAAGCACGAGCAUUAUCUAUCGGAAUCAUGAGGAUCGCGUGGGAUACGGUAAAAGCCUCGCGUAGAGUGGCUGGCACAGAGUAGGACCUCAUUAUCACGAUUUCCAUGCCUUAAGUUAAUUGGCGGAAGGAACGUCCCCUCUUCCUUCUCUGGUUUCUGUCCUGCUGUGGCGGGUCUCGACGGGCACUUCAUGUCUGUUAUCCCAUUUAUCCUCCCAACAGCCCCGUGAGGUAGGUGUUGUCAUUAUCCCAUUUUACAGCUGGGGAACUCAGAACGCAGGGACUGGUGGCAGCUUACUCACCAUUUCCGGCAGAAAUAAGCAGACGAGGGUGGGAUUUCAAGUUCAAGAGCCUUCUUUUUUUUUUUUUUUUCCUCCCCUGAAAGUCAACCAAAAGUUUUCCCUACUACUGCAAUCUAUGUGCAUUACUGUCAGCCUGCAGAAUAUUUGCCCACUUGAACCACGUGUCUUUUGGUAGGGAACACUAACAACCAGGCGAAGGGGGAUAGGUCUAACACUACGGGCAUAGCCAGUUUCAUUGCAUUUGCUGCAUUGCGCCUUGCAGAUGUUGCGGGAUUUUGUUUGUUUGUAUGUGUGUGUGUGUGUGUUUUGUUUUGUUGGGUGUUUUUGUUUUGUUUUGUUUUUACACAAGGAGGGCAUAUGGCAAUCCUGUGUCGAGCAGAUUUGUUGGCACUGUGUUUACAAAAGCAUUUGCUUACUUUGUGUCUCUGUGUCACAUUUUGGUAAUUCUCACAGGAUUUCAGGCUUUUUCACUAUUAUUAUAUGUGUGGGGAUUAUCUGUGAUCCAGUGCCAAUAUAAGAUGGUGAACUUGACUGAUAAGUGUUGUGUGUCUUUUGACUGUUCCACCAACCGGCAGUUUCUCCACCUCGCUUUCCUUCUUUGGGCCCCCCUAUUCCUUGAGACACAGGACUAUUGAAAUUAGGCUGGUUAAUAACCCUAUAAUGGUCUCUAGUGUUUGAGUGAAAGGCAUAGUCCCAUCUCUCAAUUUAAAUCAAAAGCUAGAAAUGGUUAAGCUCAGUGAGGAAGGCAUGUCAAAAGCCAAGACAGGCCAAAAGCUAGGUCUCUUACGCCAAAAAAGUUAGCCAAGUGGUGAAUGCAGCAGAAAAGUUGUUGUAGGAAAUGAAAAGUGCUGCUCCAGUGAACACACAAAUGAUAAGACAGGGAAACAACCUUCUGGCUGAUAAGGAGAGAGUUUGAGGGGUCUGGACGGAAGAUCAAACCAGCCCCAAUAGUCCCCUAAGCAAAGCCUAAUCCAGAGCAAGGCCCUGAGUCUCUUCAAUUCCGUGAAAUCUCAGGGAGGUGAGGAAGCUGCAGAAGGAAAGUUGAAAGCUAGCAAAGGUUCAUUCGUGAGGUUUAGGGAAAGAAGCCGUCUCCGUAACACCCAAGUUCAAGGUGAAGCAGCAAGUACUGAUGUAGAAGCUGCAGCAAGUUCUCCAGAAGGUCCAACUAAGGUAGUUAAUGAAGGUGGCUACACUAAACAACAGAUUUUCAGUGUAGACAAAACAGCCUUCUACUGGAAGGAGAUGCCAUCUAGGACUUGUAGCUAGAGUGGAGAAGUCAAUGCCUGGCUUCAAAACUUCAAAGGACAGGCUGACUCUCUUGUUAGGGACUAAUGCAGCUGCUGACUUGAAGCUGAAGCCAAUGCUCAUUCACCGUUCCAAAAGUCCUAGCACCCUGAAGAAUGAUGCUGGAUCUACUCUGCCCAUGCUCUGUAAACAGAACAACAACGCCGGAUGACAGCGCAUCUGUUUACAACAUGGCUUGCUGAAUAUUUUAAGCCCACUGUUGAGACCUACUGCUCAGAAAAAAAAAAAUUCUUUCAAAAUAUUACUGCUCAUUGACUAUAUGCCUGGUCACCCAAGAGCUCUGAUGGAGGCGGACAAUGAGAUGAACGUUGUUUUCAUGCCGCUGAUACAGCAUCCUUUCUGCAGCCCAUGGAUCAAGGAGCAAUUUUGACUUCCAAGCCUUAUGCAUUAAGAAAUCCAUUUUUUUUUUUUUUAUUUAUUUUUGGGACAGAGAGAGACAGAGCAUGAACGGGGGAGGGGCAGAGAGAGAGGGAGACGCAGAAUCGGAAACAGGCUCCAGGCUCCCAGCCAUCAGCCCAGAGCCUGACGCGGGGCUCGAACUCACGGACUGUGAGAUUGUGACCUGGCUGAAGUCGGACGCUUAACCGACUGCGCCACCCAGGCGCCCCAAGAAAUCCAUUUUUUAAGGCUAAACUUUUCACAGUGAUUCCUCUGGUGGAUCUGGGCAAAGGAAACUGAAAACCUUCUGGAAGGGAUUCACCCUUUUAGAUGUCAUUAAGAACUUUCAUGAUUCAUGGGAAGAGGUCAAAAUGUCAACAUGAAGAGGACUUUGGAAGAAGUUGAUUCCAACCCUCACGGAUGACUUUGAGGGGUUCAUGACUCCAGUGGAGGAAGGAACCGCAGAUGUGGUAGAAACAUCCAGAGAACUAGAGUUAGAAGUGGAGGCUCCAGGUGAGCCCGAAUUACUGCAAUUUCAUGAUCGGACUUUAAUGGAUGAGGAAGUGCUUCUUAUGGAUGAAGAGCAGAAGUAGUUGCCUCAGGUGGAAUCUCCUCCUGGUGGAAGUGCUGUUAAGACUGCUGAUGGGACAGCAAGGGCUUUAGAAUAUUCCAUGAAUGUAGUUGAUCAAGCAGCGGCAGGGUUUGAGAGGAUGGAUUCCAAUUCUGAACGAAGUUCUGCUGUGGGUGAAGUGCUAACAAACAGCAUCACAUGAAAUUGUUCGUGAAAGGAAAAGUCGGUUGAUGCAACAAACUUCAUCGUUGUCUUCUUUUAAGAAAUGGCCAUGGGGGCGCCUGGGUAGCUUAGUCGGUAAAGGGUCUGACUCUUGGUUUCAGCUCAGAUCAUGAUCUCACAGUUUUGUGGGAUCGAGCCCCGCACUGGGCUCUGCGCUGGCAGUGUGGAGCCUGCUUGGGAUUCUCUCUCUGCCUCUCUCUCUGCCCCUCCCUCCCUUGCGCUGUCUCUGUCUCUCUCAAAAUUAAAAAUAAAAAAAAAAAGGAGAGAGAGAAAUGGCCAUGACCAUCACCACCUAGACAGGAUCCCCCACCAGCAAAAAGAUUAAGACUUGCUAAGAGCUCAGAUAAUGGUUAGCAUAGAAAUAAAGUGUUUUUAAUGAAAGUAUGUACAUUGAUGCGUUAGACAUAAUAAUGUUGCAAACUUAGUUGACCACAGUAUAGCGUAAACAUAACUUCUUUAUGUACUGGGAAACAAACAAAAAAAUAGUCUGACUCACUUUAUUGCAAUGUUUGCUUUACCGCGGUGGUCUAGAACUGAACCCACGGUAUGUCUGAUGUAGGUCUGCACUGUGUUAGUCUUGGAAUGGACGGGUUUAGGACAUGGAGUUUGUUCCCAGCCUCUCCAUAUCUUUGCUACAAUAAAAGAUAGUAUAGAACAGUCCAAUUGCAUGCAUUAGACAUGCACCACACUACAAAGUUAAAGAUAAAAACAAGUGCCUUUCUAUAGCUGGGUGUGUGAUUUAUUUCUACACCAGGGGGUUUAGUUUUCUAAUUAAUGAGUGGGACUUUAUGCACAUGUCCAUUAAUGUUAAUGAAUAAUGUGUGUGUGGCGUAAUAGAUUGCUGUGCUAACACAUGGUGCUCCCCACCAGGAAGCAGAUUUGUCUAUUAUCAUUUGUACGUGUGAUAUCACACCUAGGAAAUCAGGAAAAUGAAUUAAUUACAUUUACAAAUGUUUGGUAGAGCAGUCAUUUCAAGGGUUAACCAUUCCUUAAGAAACACUUAGGGGAUGAUGUCUUAUUAGGAAAUAAUUGGGCAACAUUUUACAAAUCUCCACUUGAAGAAAAAUGAUAUUCAGUGAACCUGAAGACAGGGCCCAGAAAAACAGAAAUGUGACAUUUGCAAGUCAAAAUUGGCAAAAUUUAGAAGAGAGCAGGAUGUCAUCGGACCUAAAGGGUGUGGGAUGAGGCUUAUCUAUCCCAAUGUUCACUCCUAAAGGCCUGACACGACCCCAGGAAAUAAAAUUUCUCAUUGUUUCUUUCAGUGGGAAGUUGCGUGGAAAAUAGAACAAGAAAGUGAAAAUACAUUUGGCUUCAGGGAGCAGUAACCAACUCUCAGCUGGUAAAAUGUACCAGGUUUUCAAAAUAAACUACCCACAUCAUAGGGUUUACUCUGCGUGGCAUGCCUUUCUGACUGAGGGCCGCAGGGACACCAAGCGUUUUCCUCCCUAGCGGUUCUUAGCACCCGUGGCUGCCUUGCAAAGAGAAGAGAACACCUUUGAAUGAAAUAACACGUUUAAAGGACGCUAGUGUUUAUCUCGCAAAGGGAUGCACUCUGAAAGAGCGCUCAUCGACACUGUCGAAGUGAUUGUACCAACCACAAAAAGAAGAUCUGAUUUAAAAGGGCCUGUGAGUAAAUGUCCUGGAAUACUUAGCUAGUUCUCUAAUCUUGGCUAUUAGGGGCUUGGAGGUCAGUGCUCACUGAGUAUAUCUUGAAUAAGUAGAAGAAUUAAUGGAUAAGUGAAUGACUAUUUCAAGUCUCCUGUUGGGAUUAAAUCAUUAAAGGCCACGGACAAGGGAUGGCAGAUAAUGGAACACGCAUACCCCUUGUCCGUCCUCCCUGACUGACUGAUUACAGCCUUCUGUCCUGCUGAGACAGAAGGUAACCUCAGGAUCUUUCUCAAUACAGGACCCGAAAAUAUCCCAAUCAGCCAAGUGGAGUUCAUUUGAGAGAAAGUAUAUUUGCAACCCUGAGAUAUUUAGAGAUUAAUCAUCGAAAGGGCAGGGUUAAUGAUGGGCAUGGGAUUUAUGGGGGGUCUGUGAACCCUGGUUGAUCUUGAAUAUUUAUGUUCAACGUACCAGGACGUGGAAGAGUCCAAAGAUAGGAGUCUCUUCCCAAAAGAGAUGUCAUUUUUGUUUCGUAGCACUGCAGUGUGUAAUCUCUCGUGUGAUAAGAAGAGAAAGUAAUGGAUAAGAGGAGGAUUGCAUGUAGAGAUGACCUGUAAUUUAUGUAGCACUAUUAAUGUUAUUGCUUUUGGUGUAGCUAGAGAGGGUAGGGAUGAAGAAGGAAGGAAAAGGAAUAUCUUCUGACUUUGUUGGCUGUGCAAGAGUUCAAAGCUGGGCUGGGCUAAAAUGAGGAUCUCUUGAUUUCGAGUACUUCAGUUAGUUUUACUUAUCCAUUAAACAUCUGAGUUUGUAUAUAAUUUGUGAAUGUUAUGUGUAUACUCAAAGCAAAUAUGUGGGAUCGAUAAUGGACGUGCAAAGACAGAUACGAUGUGGUCCAUGUCCUUGUGGGGCUCCCAGUCUAGUGAAGAAAGCGGAGGGUAAAAAAAUAAUCACACUUGAAUGCGCACAUGCUACAGUAGCCCAGGUAACUAGUAAAUGUAUUGAUCACGAGAUCAUAAGGCCUCUCUCUCUUACCUACCAGUAGAGACUACUGUCUCAUGUUCAAAUACACAUUUUAAUGAAAAAAUCAAAUAUAUUAGGGCACCUGGGUUGCUCAGUUGGUUGUGUCCAACUCUUGGUUUUGGCUCAGGUCACGAUAUCCCGGUUUGUGAGUGUGAGCCCCACAUUGGGCUCUGUGGUGGCAGUGUGGAGCCUGCUUGGGAUUCUCUCUCUCUCUCUCUCUCUCUCUCUCUCUGCCCCUCCCCUGUUUGUGCUCUUUUUCUCUCAAAAUAAGUAAUAAAUAAACUUAUAUCUAUCUAUAUCUAUAGAUAUAGCUGUAUCUAUCUAUAGAUAUAGAUAUAGAUAUAUAGAUAUAGAUAGAUAUAGAUAUUCAACUGUUAAAAAAUUUUUCCAGUAUAUCACUUUAUUGAAAUGUAUACAUGAGACAUAUAAAUAAUUUUUACAAUAGAAUUUAUGCCUGCAAUUAAUUCACACUGUGCAUUGUCAGCAAUUCAUUUAAUCAUAAAUGUUUCAAUGCUAUGAUAUGACUGCCUUAAAAAAACUGAGAUUUUUCAAGCUUGUUUUAAGACUAACUUAAAGUGCCAUUCACUCCUUCAACGUGUAAUUUCUGAGCAGUUGCUAUGGCCAAACACUAUUAUACUCUGAUGGAACCGUUUACAGUCUAGUAGAGGAAAUAAAAUCUGCACUCGAUGUUACUACAGGGAAAAAAGUAGGAUGUACCAUGAAAGUGUUGAACUGCAACAGAGUGUUUGUUUCCCCCCCAAAUCCAUAAGUUAGAAACCCAAUACUCAAGGUGGUGGUGUUAGGAAGUGGGACAUGGGAGGUGGUUAGGUCCUGAGAGUGGAGCGCUCGUGUAUGGGAUUAGCGCCCUUAUAAAAGGAGCCCCAGAGGUCCUCCUCACCCCCUUCCACCAUGUGGACCACAGCAGAAGUCAGCAGCCUGCAGCUCAGAAGAGGACCUUCACUACAACCAGACAAUGCUAGCACCUUCCAGCUUCCAGAGCUGCAAGAAAGAAAUUGUUGUUUAUAAGCCACUCAGUCUGUAUUACAGGUGUCAUAGCAGCCCAGUCUAUCACACAAAUAUAUACUGCUCGAGUUGAAGGUAGAGGGGAUAACUUCUAGCUUUGUGAACUAGGGUGUGGAUUCCAGCCAGUUAGUUAUGAUGGCACAUGAGUAUCUAUCUAUCUAUCUAUCUAUCUAUCUAUCUAUCUCUCUAUCUAUCUACUAUCUAUCCAUAUACACACAUACAUGGUAUUUUUUUUAAUGUUAUUUAUUUUGAGAGAAAUGCAUGCAAGUGGAGGAGGGGCAGAGAGAGAAAGAGAAAGAAAGAGAAUCCCAAGCAGGCUCUACGCUGUCAGCACAGAGCUGGACAUGGGGCUCAAUCCCACAAACCAUGAGAUCAUGACCAGAGUGGAAGUCAAGAGUCAGACGCUUAGCCAACCAAGCCACCCAGGGGCCCAUAUAGUAUUUUUUAAAUACAAGUAUAGUAUACAUGUAGAAAAGGGUAGUGUACAACUUGGAAAAUCUUCACCAAACACACACAACCCUGUGUCUACCAUUCAGAUCAAGAACUGGGCCAUUAUCAGCACUCGAGUUUUAACUUUGACAUAGUUUUGGUUUUGUUGUUGUAUGAUGAUUCGAUGACAUAAGUACAUUUGUUUAAAACAUUUUCUGAGGCACCUGGCUGGCUCGGUCGGUGGAGUGUGCAACCCUUGAUCAUUGGGUUGUGGGUUUGAGCCCCAGUUGGGUGUAGAGCUUGCUUAAAAAUAAAGUUAAAACAAAUGAGCAAACAACAUUUUCCUUUUGCCAUUGAAUUAUCCUGGCAUAUUUGCCAAAAUAAUUUGACCACAUAUCAUGUGGGUCUAUUUCUGCAUUCUGUUCCUCUGAUGAAUUGAAAUUCCUUUCAAACAUUUAUAGUUGGUUCUUAGGUCCUAUUUAUGAAAUUUUUGCUUGCUACAAGGUCAUGAAGGUAUUCUCAUAUAUUUUCUUCUACAAGCUUCAUUGUUUUACCCUUCACAUUUAGAUCUACAGUCCCCAUGGGACAGAUUUUUGUGUGUGUAUAUAUUAUGAGGCAGGAGUAAAGAUUUACUUUUUUCCAUGACUAUCCAAUUGACCCAGAACCGUUUGUAGAAAAUUCUGUAAUUUCCCCCACUGCAUUGCAGUGAGUGGCCCCCUUGGUCAUAAAUCAAAUGACCUCAUAUGUAUGUUUUAGGUUCUGGAUUCUAUAGUGCUCUCUUGAUCUCAUACUCUGUUUCUAUGGCAGUUUAUAUUGUCUUAAUUAAUAUAGCAUUAUAAAAAGUCUGGUAUCAGGACGGUAAAUUAUCCAGCUUUUUGUUGUUGUUGAUGAAGAUUAUUUUGGUGACUUUUGCCUUUUGUACUUUCAGAUAAAUGUUAGAAGUCGUUUCUCAAUUUCAAUAUAUAUAAAACUCUGUCAGGGGUUUAAUUACAAUUGUAUUUAUUAUUAAACUUGAGGAGUAUUUUUAGCUUUAUAAUAUUGAGUCUUUCAAUUUAUGAACAUGUUAUAACCUAUUUAUUUACAUCUUUUUUUUAAUGUUUAUUUAUUUUUGAGAGACAGAGAGAGACAGCAUGAGCAGGGGAGGGGCAGAGAGAGAGAGAGACACAGAAUCUGAAGCAGGCUCCAGACUCCAAGCUGUCAGCACAGAGCCCGAUGGGAGGCUCGAACCCAUGAACCGCAAGAUCAUGCCCUGAGCCCAAGUGGAACGCUUAACCGACUGAGCCACCCAGGCACUCCUCUUUAUAUCUUUUAACGUACCUCUCCUAGUGAUUUUGUAGUUUUCAAUGCAGAGGACUUACAAUUUUUGGUUUUUAUUUUUAGGUGGAUACCUAGCUAUUCGGUUUUUAAAAUAUCUGUGAUGAUGUUUUCAUGUGUCAACUUGAGCAGACAACAGUCCCGUCUACACUAGCAGAGUGAUUCCAACACUAGUCAAGGUCUUGCUGUGAAGGUAUUUUGCAUAUGUAAUUAGCCAUUCUAAUCACCUGAACUUAAGUAAAGGCAAUUCUGUGGAUAACCUGGGUGGGCCUGACUACGUCAUUUGGAAGGCCUUAAAAUCAUGGCUGAGGUUUCCCUUACAGAGGGAAGAAAUUCCAUCUGUGGGCAACAGCUUGGCCCUUGGAGUUUCAUUUUGCUCAUGACCCUUCCUGACGGCCUGGCCUGUGAAUUCUGGCUUGCGUAUUCAGCUCUCACAAAUGGAAACCAAUUUUCCGUAAUAAAUCUCUAUCUGUAUAUCUAUCACCUACUUAUCUAUGUAUCUAUCUAUUUGUCAUCUAUCUCUUACUGGUUCUUCUCUGGUUAAACACUGAUACAGGUUUUUUUUUUUCAAGUUUUUAUUUAAAUUUUAGUUAGUUAACAUAUAUGGUCAAAUUGGUUUCAGGUAUAUAGAAUUUAGUGAUUCAUCACUCACAUAUAACACCCAGUGCUCAUCCCAACAAGUGCCCUUCUUAAUACCCAUCACCCAUCUAACCGACCCCCCCACCCACCUCAGAUUGUUCUCUAUAGUUAAGAUUGUUCUCUAUAGUUAAGAGUCCCUUAUGGUUUGUUUCCCUCUCUCUUUUUUCUUCCCCUAUGUUCGUGUAUUUUGUUUUUUAAAUUCCAUAUAUGAGUGAAAUCAUAUGGUAUUGGUCUUUCUCUGACUGACUUAUUUCACUUGGCCUAAUACCCUCUGGCUCCAUCCACAUCAUUGCAAAUGGCAAGAUCUCAUUCUUUUUCAUAGCUGAGUAGUAUUCUGUCGUCUUCAUUCAUUCACCAGUCGAUGGACAUUUGGGCUCUUUCCAUAGUUUGGCUAUUGUUGAUAGUGCUGCUGUAAACAUCAGGGUGCAUGUAUCACUUCAAAUCGGUGUUUUUGUAUUCUUUGGGUAAAUGCCUGGCAGUGCAAUUGCUGGGUGGUAGGGUAGCUCUAUUUUUAACUUUUUGAGGAAGCUCCAUCCUGUUCUCCAGAGCGGCUGCACCAGUUUGCAUCCCCACCAACAGAAACACUGAUACAGAUUCCGGUACUAGAGGCUGUUCUAGCGGAACAGAAUCUUCAGGAUGAGUUCUUUGAAUUGGUGCUAGGCAGCCCAUGGAAGGGUACAGCAAAAGAAUUACAUUAUUGUAUUUGCAUGUCCCUGAUCAAAUACCGUGGCCUCAGAAGUAGUAAAAGACUUUGGUUAAGGUCACCAGCUACUGAAGAGCCUGGUCAGGAUUCAAAUCCAGACUAAGGUCUUAACAACUAUGCUGUGCUACCUCCUCAUAAGGCAUCCUUACAUAUUACAUAUGUUAUAUAUACACAUAUAUAUAUGUUAUAUAUCUGAUAUAUGUAUGUAUAUAUAUAUAUAUAACACGUAUAUAUCUGAUAUAUAACACAUAUCUGAUAUAUACGUAUAUCUGAUAUAUAACACGUAUACAUUAUAUAUAUGUUAUAAUUUAAUAAAAUGUUUUGUUUGCACUCUAUAUAAUGCUAUAUGUCUAAGCAUCUUUUGAAUGACUUUUUCAUUGGGUUGUUGUAGAGAAGCAUGUACGGUUUGGGGGGUGUUGGAUAUGGGAAGAGAGAGCAGGAUGGACCCACAUUUUCUGGUAACAUAUGGAAUAUUUGGUUCUAUUCAAAUCUUCUUCCAGUCACUUCUCAGUGCGUUGCCUUCACUCUCCUGAUGUCAAAGACCAUGUUAAUUUGCUCAUAGUCAAAGGCCAAAUAGAUUUAAGAGCCAAAGAGAAUGCCUUUAAAAACAAUUUUCUUGCUGUUUACAGCAGCCUGGGAUUUUUGAGUCCUCCUUGUUUUGGAAGGAAGGCUGCCCACCAAUAGUUCUAAUGGACUUAACUUCGUUGGUCAACAUGGGCAGAAUGUUUUGGCAUAGAGACUGACAGCAACAAUACCUGCUGUAUUUUCAUUUUUACAGAGAUUGAAAGAAUGCAUGUGCCGAAUGCGCCCCCUAUGAUCCCUGCAUCCCGAAUCUCCAAGGGGACCAGGGACUUAGCGACAUCCAGGGCAGACCUGGGAGUGAGCAGGGCUGAGGCAAGCUGGGCCAGAGCUCUCAGUCCCCUGGAGGACCGUUUUUGUCUUCCUAAUUCCUAAGGGAGGUGGUGCUGUAGGAUGUGGAGAAUCUGUUAGAAAAGGAACACCCUAGGGGCGCCUGAGUGGCUCAGUUGGUUAAGCAUCUGACUUCCCCUCUUGUCAUGAUCUCAUGGUUCCUGAGUUCCAGCCCCACAUUGGGCUCUGUGCUGACAGCUCGGAGCCUGGAGCCUGCUUCGGAUUCUGUGUCUCCCUCUCUUUCUGUGCCUCUCCUGUUCACACUCUGUCUCUCUCUCAAAAAUAAAUAAUUAUUUUAAAAAAUUUAAAAAAAAAAAAGAAAAGGAAGAGCCUAAAGAAAAAAGAGGGGGCAAAAAAUUGUGAAACUUUGGGUUCAACACUCUAACUAAAUUAAAAGAAAAAUGUGUCAGAGCAGAGAGAAAGAAAGAGCCAAAGAUUCAUCCAGGCAGGGUGAGGGAGAGUGACCCCAGUGCUGGUUCUGUUUUUCUGUGUCGCAAUAGAUAUGUCUCGGGUUCUCUCAAUAUCCCUCAGACAGAAACUUGAGCCAUUUUCUGAGGAGAAACAUUGAAUCAAUGUCCACUUUCUGCUGGCCUUGCACUUUGCCGGAGGCCGUGGUACUAUUUGCAUUUUCCUAUCUCACACUGAUCUAGUGAGAUGGACUUAUUAUUCCAUUUUCUAGGCAGGCUGAGUCUGGUGCCUUGUCCAGGACCCCCACGGGGGCUGAGAGAUGCAUCUCUUAAGGAUUUCUCAAGUGCCAUCUUGAGGAAAGAAGAAGGGCUUACGUUUCCCAAAUAUAUUUUUGGGAGUCUCUUGGUUUCUCCGAUGAUCAAAUCCUACUCUGAGGAAGGCAAGCGUGAUAAUGACACGUGUGCCUCAUGAGGAAACCGAGGCCCACGGAUUGAGCGGCCUCGCUAUUCAGCCACGGAGGCCGGAAGCCUGGGCCCCAUCCAUCCUAUGCGUGAAGCUAACGCAUCACCAGGAGCAUGGAGGGGAUCCCCCAGCCUGGCAUCGGGGGCGGGAAGCUCAAGGUCACUGCAGCUGGAGCUGAACCUGGGCCAGUACCUGUGGGGCUCACAUCUACUUGGAGCUUCUGGGAGAGGCUCCGGUAGGACGCCUCUUUUGGCAAAUAGUAAGUCUUCGGUAGGUGUGCCCUACGGAUUCACCAGGUGAAAGGAACCCGGCCACUGUCGCGUGGGUUCAGUACCAGUCCGCGAGAGGCCCUCUGCGUCCUUUGGUAACAUCUGCCGAACAGUCUGCUGUUAAACAACACAUCCCCUCUGCUUUGCCCUGCCAGCGGUCUACUAAGAGGCGAGAGUAACAGCCGUCGUCGGUUGCGGGCUUGCUAGGAGAGAAAGUGCUUUGCUUCUACUGCCUCAUUAAGACCUCCGAGGUCACUCCAAAACUGCAGAAGGGGAAAACGAGGCUGGGUGAGGUCGAGGGAGAUGCCUGGAGUCAUCCAGUCAGUAAUGAGCCAGAGCCGGGCCCGGGGCCACGUGGAAGUGGGCAUGUUUGACACUUCUUAAUUCCAUUUGCUUUUAGCCAGGGCGGGAAGGAAGGUCACGGAACGCUGUGCUUGGAAACUGGUUUUGCCCUGCUGAAGAUGCCUCUGUUGAACUUCCUCUGCCAAUGAGCGGGGUCCUGCUUGCCUUCCGCUAAUUACUUGUGUGGGCAGUCUUGCACUUGAAUAUCACCUCACCUCUGAGACUCUCCCAAGGUGAUUAGACUGCAUCCGGAGGUGAGGAAAAUUCUUUCUAAGCAUUAGUGCUUACUGGACUUCAGCUCAAGGCAACUGAACCACCUACAGUGUACCCAGCAUUGUCCUGGGCCCCAGGAAAAUAAAGGUAAAUUAAAACCUCAGGCAUUAAAACCGGCCUGAGAUUCGGAGGUAACACUGCAUUCAAAUGAAGCACAUGGACAUAUUCUAGAUAAACACUGAUACGUGACAAUACAUGGAAUCAAUAAUGCAAAUAAUAGGCAAUUAUGAAUAAUUUGACAAAAUGUGCUGCAUAAUGUAGAACAAUGAUCAGUCAGAAAAGUGUCAGGUAGGAUUUGAGUAGUACCAAGGACGGUGUGAGAAGAGCCUUUCCCCUGGUAUUCACGGCAAAUUUGUCUGAAAGAGUUCAUUUGCUCCUUAAAGCUACAUUAAAAAAAAAAAAGCUUCAGAGGUGCCUGGGUGGCUCAAUUGGUUAAGUGCCUGGCUCUUGGUUUUGGCUCAGGCCAUGAGCUCACGGUUCCCGAGUUCAAGCCCCAUGUCAGGCUCUGUGCUGACCGUGCAGAACCUGCUUGGGAUUCUCUGUUUCCCUCUCUCUCUGCCCCUCUGUCUCUCAAAGAUAAACACUUUUUUUUUUAAGUAGCUACAUUGAAGUACCUAGCUGGCUCAGUUGGUAGGGCAUGUGACUCUUUAUCUUGGGGUCCUGAGUUUGAGCCCCACACCAGGGGUGGAAUUUACUUAAAAAAAAAGUAUCUACAUUUUUUUAAGUGUCUGCACUUAAAUAUUUUUGGUAUGGAUUUAGGGACAGGUGGUCAAGAGGGUCAAUCAUACAAUUUAACAUUUCCAGGAAAAGUCAGAUUGAAAAAUACUAUUUCUAAGCUCAAGAUUCUAUGAACUAAUAUGAAAUAGUAAUUCUUAGACUAGUUAUUGGUAUAUGCUAAGAAUUUGCCAAAUAUUGGAUAUUCUCGUUAUCUCCUUUUUUAAUGUUUAUUUUUAAGAGCGAGAGAGAGAGAGAGAGAGACAGACAGAGACAGAGCAUGAGUGGGGGAGGGGCAGAGAGAGAGGGAGCCACAGAUCCAAAGCAGGUUCCAGAGUCUGAACUGUCAGCACAGAGCCUGAUGCAGGGCUCAAAACUCAUGAGUCAUGAGAUCAUGACCUGAGCUGAAGUCGGAUGCUUAACCGACUGAGCCACCCAGUGGCCCCUGUUAUCUCUUUGAUAAAGCAAUUUCUUGUGUUCCAGGUAGUGGUCCAAAUGAAUUUGUUAUAUAAUGCAUAAUGUUUGGUGAUUGAGUUUGAUCCUGUACAGUGUAUUUGCCAUUGCAAAAAGUUUCUACUUUUUUCAUUUUUUGUACUUUCGUGAGUACAAGUAGAAUGUCUUUGGAGCAAUGCAUAGCUUUGUAGCCCUGGUCAAUAACUCUAUUCCCUCCGGUAUUUACUGGUAGUUCCUUCACAAAUCCAUACAUUUUUAAAAGAACAGAUAUCCUUUUAAGCAAUUCAGAAAUGUUUUCUAGGUACUCGUUUAUAUUCAAAGUCUGUUAUCUUGCAUGAACAUUCCCCAAAACAUGCACGAAACAUUUUUCUCAUAUUUUGGGUUGUCAAUAUGAAAUGUACUUGAAAUUUCCCACAGCAUCAGUUUUCUUUGUAAGUUUUUCAACACAUUUCAUAUGCUUUGAUAACAGAUAAUGUCUUGUUCUGCAAUUACUUUCAAGAAAAUGACUUCUCUGGUUUAGUACCUUUAAGUCCUAUUAAAAAUAUACUAAUGAGCUUGUUGUCAUAGGAAACUAUCUGUGUCAGACUGACUAUAGCCUUUGGAGAAACCAUUUACGAUGAGAGAGGUUCCAUUCCUGAGCAUGACUGAUAUUAAGUUGUUGAAUUACCUGCCCAGAUAGUAUUCCUAGCCAUUGUGGUCCUGCUUAAAUGACCUGACUCUUGUGGAAGCUAAGCUAUUUGGAGGUCAGCAUUUCCUGCAAGAUGUGAGAACGUUUUUGCCAAGUUCUUCAAUAGUAAGAAAAACGUAAACAGGUAAACACGAUACGUAACACAGAACAAAUUACCUAUCACGAUAAAUUUGCUGGUAAGCUCUUCCCUGAAAAGGCAUUUUUAUGUGUUAUUUGCAUUCUUUUCUGUAUACCUAAAGACAAUAUUAUGAAAGUAGUACAUCCUCAUACAAAAUUUGGAAAUUAUAAGAUAGAAUUAAAAAAAAAUCAACAACCCAUUCAUGGACAAUCACUGUCAACAUUUUUAGGUAUGUCUUUUGAUUUCCCGUGCAUGUUAAAAGAUCAUUAGGAUAUGUACAUAUCAUUUUGUGUCCUUUUAAGAUACCUUUCAUUAUUGUGCGUUUCAUCUGUUAUUCAAUUUUGUAUGGUCAUAACUAACUAUAGCACCUGUGUGCAAAUAGAGACUCCCGAAUUUUAGACUUGCCAGCCGACAGGCUAUACUCACGUUUAAUUUUCUGAUACCCAUAGACAUUUGGCCCAUCAGACAUUACAGAUCCAUGGAUAGAAGAUGUGUCUGCUUUGCUACAUGUUUCAAACAUUUAUUUGCUCUUCCUUCACAUUUUUUGUAUAUGUCUGUAACCUUUUGACCAAAUUGCGGAGAUCAUUUUGUUUGCUAUGAUAAAUACAAGUACCAGUGUCUUAAUUCACUCCUGAUCACUGUUUCAAAGAGGCCCACAGGCACAAAAUUUAAAGCAGUUUUCCUAGGAUUGGAGAUCAGUUGGGACCAGUAUCUUCACGACGUCUCUUUCAGAAGAGCCCAUUCAAUGUAUAUUAUAUAGCCUCCUGCUAUAUCCAAUAUGAUACACAAAGGAUUGAUUGCAGCCUGUAUUUUUUUUUUUUCAGGAGGUAGGAGCAGCUUUAUUGUGGUAUAAUUUGUAUACAAUAAAAUUCAACUUAAGUAUGUUAUGUAAUGGCUUUUGACGAGCGUAUACAGUCCUAGAACCACGUGAGGAUCAUGAUACGGAACAUUUCUAGUACCCCUAAAAGUCUCCUCGUGCUUCUUUGUAGUCAGUCUCCUCUCUCCUGCUUCUCUGACCUCUGGCAAUCCUGAUCACUUUAGUCUGGCUUUUCUGGAAUUUCAUAUUAAUGGAAUCACACAAUCAUUUGCGUCUGCUUCUCACACUUAACAGAAGCCUCUUGAGGGCACGUAAGGUGUUGAUGUGUCCAUGUGCCCUCCUGUUCGUUGCCGAAGAGCAUUUCAUUGUGUGACUACACCGCUAUUCGUUUAUCCCUUCUCCAGCUGAUGAGUAUUUGACUUCUUUCAAGUUUUUGGACAACUGUUAACAUAAAGAAAGCAGCUUUGAACUUGAGUACACAUCUCUGCGGGGACCCAUGUUUCCAUUUCUCUUGGAUGAGCACUUAGAAGUAGACUUGCUGGGCCAUAUUGUAUGUGUCUAUUUAACGUGACAAAGGACCACCCAUUUAUUUUUCCCAAGUGCAAUUCUAUUUUGCAUUCCCAGAAGCGAUGAAUAAAGGGUUAGUUGCUCCGCAUUUUUGCCAACACUUGGCAUCUUCCAUUUUUAUAAUUUUUUUUUUUUUAAUUUUAGCCAUCCUUGUGACAUCUAGUGGUUCCAUCGACCAUUUUUUCUGGUGACUCACGAUGUUGAAAAUGUGUCAUGCACUCAUUUUGUCAUCUGUAUGUCUUCUUUAAAAUCCUUUUCCUUUUUUUUUUAUUGGAUUGUUUGCUUUUCUUCUGGACUUACAAGAAUUUGUAACACGGUCUGCAUAUGAGUUCAGAUAUGUUUAUAUGUGUACCCGAUAUUAGUUUUGCAUAUCCUUUUUUUCCCAAUCUGUAGCCUUUUCAUUUUCUUUUUUUUUUUUUUUUUCAACGUUUAUUUAUUUUUGGGACAGAGAGAGACAGAGCAUGAACGGGGGAGGGGCAGAGAGAGAGGGAGACACAGAAUCGGAAACAGGCUCCAGGCUCUGAGCCAUCAGCCCAGAGCCCGACGCGGGGCUCGAACUCACGGACCGCGAGAUCGUGACCUGGCUGAAGUCGGACGCUUAACCGACUGCGCCACCCAGGCGCCCCUAGCCUUUUCAUUUUCUUAACAGUACCUUUUCAAUAGUGAAGUUAUAGUAUUUAAAAAAUUUUUUUUUGUGAAGUCCAUUCAAUCAUUUUUUUUCUUCUUGGAUCCUAGUUAAAAAAAUAUUUGCCUAUGGGCACCUGCGUGGCUCAGUCAGUUAAGCUACCGACUUCGGCUCAGGUCAUGAUCUCAAAGCUCAUGAGUUUGAGCCCUGUGUCGGGCUCUGUGCUGACAGCUCAGAGCCUGGAGCCUGCUUUAGAUUCUGUGUCUCCCUCUCUCUCUCUGCCCCUUCCCCACUUGUGCUCUCUCUCCCUCAAAAAUAAAUAAACAUUGAAAAUAAUUUAAAAAAUAUUUGCCUAAUCCAAAGGCACUAAGAUUUUUCUUCCAGAAGGUGGAUAAUUUUAGGUUUUAUACUUGAACUUAUGAUCCAUUUUAUUUUUUUUAUUUAAAAAAAAAAUUUUUUUUUUCAACGUUUAUUUAUUUUUGGGACAGAGAGAGACAGAGCAUGAACGGGGGAGGGGCAGAGAGAGAGGGAGACACAGAAUCGGAAACAGGCUCCAGGCUCCGAGCCAUCAGCCCAGAGCCUGACGCGGGGCUCGAACUCCCGGUCCGCGAGAUCGUGACCUGGCUGAAGUCGGACGCUUAACUGACUGUGCCACCCAGGCGCCCCUUAUGAUCCAUUUUAAAAUUAAUUUCUGGGGGCACCUGGUGGCUCAUUUGGUAAAGCAUGAGACUCUUGACCUUGGGAUCAUGAGAUUGAUCCCCCCAUUGGGUGUAGAGAUUGCUUAAGAAAAUAAAAUCUUAAAAACAAUUAAUUUCUGGGUAUGGUAAUGAGUCAAGGUCAAGCUUUACUUUUUUGCAGUUUUUUUCUUGCACAGUUAUUUAAAAACUUUUUAUUUCCCCCACUGAAUUGCCCUAGCGUAUUUGUAAACAAACAAACAAACAAAAAAUCCCCAAACCAAUUGACCAUAUAUAUGUGGGCUAUUUCUGGAUUUUCUAUUCCUUCCAUUGAAUUGAAUUCCUAUCCUGAUACCAUAUAUAUAUAUAUAUAUAUAUAUAUAUAGAGAGAGAGAGAGAGAGAGAGAGAGAGAGAGAGAGAAAGUCUUGAAAUCAGGGCAUGUUAUUCCUCUGACUUUGUUGCUUUGCAAAGUUGUUUUGGCUAUUCUAGGUUCUUGGUAUUUCCACGUGAAUUUUAGAAUCAGGUUUUGAAUGUCAUCAACAAAAGACUUUUACUCAGCAUGUGUGAGGACCUCUCAAUAUGUAGUAUGUUUUUAUAGGAUGGGGUGGGGCUGGGAUGGAGGUGACACAUGUCUCUCUCACGCUUAUCCUCUAUUCCUUUAGCACUUCUCUCCAGUGUACGAAUAAAGGUGCCCAUUAGUUAGUGAUGCUAGAAUUUGCCAGAUAGUUCUGAAACUAUUUAGAUAAAUGACUACAUGUUUGACGUGCAGUCCUAGCUCCUGAAAGCCAUGGGGAAGUGUCAGGCCGUGAAGCAAUCCCAUGAAAAGUAGGCUGAACCUUUUUCAACAGAAGCAAGAUCCAGAUUCUGAUAAUCAUUGCUACAACCAGAAGUCAAAGGAUUCUUUCUUGCUCAUGAGUAGAAAGCACCUCCGUUCUUGCGGUCACAGCUCCGACAUUCUUACAUGCUCGUUAUCAGCCGUGAAUAUGUAUGGCAGUGGUACAGUGUCCCGGCCUUUAUGGCAGCAGCUGUGAUCACUGUCUUCCUUAAACUGACCCCUUUGUUCCUCAUUACAGUCAUGUCGUGCCAGAACUUAGACCUAUUUUGUUUUAGUCCGUCUUCCUCUGUGCUCUCUUGUUGGAUUUUUUUCUCCGGCAGGUAGAAGCUAUCAGUUUAUUGAGAUUUUAUCCUGUGCGCUGUUUAGAAUGCCUGUUUUCUAGCGUAUGUCAUACUUGUGGAUCAGACAUUGAUAUCUGAAAAAAGCACUUACGUUAUUAUAUUCUGAUUAUCAAAAUUCAAGCCCUUGAAGUAGGAUAACUGAGCUAAUGCGUUCCACAUUCUGGCAUCUCAUUUGGUACCCAUGUAUUAAUCAGAAUCAGGGAUGAGAGCGUGCUGUAUCUAGCCUUGUCAAAAUAAACAUUAAAAUACAUUUGUUCUAAAUAAAAUCUUGUGUUGAUUUGUCAAUUUGUUUUAUUAAUAGAAAACUUUACACCUCCUGUCAAAUCUUCUACUCAAAAAAAUACCUGUUUCUGAGACAGACUGAAGUUCGAUGAUUAGUACAAUCCCUCUGGGUGUUGGGGGGAGAAGAUACCACCUUAUCAGCAUGCACCACUGGCCUGCCUUCACUUUCGGAAAAACAAAGGGGAAAGCAGCUAUGGAAAGCAAUUGAUAUUCCUGCACAGGUUGGGGUUGAUAUGCAAAUGGAUAAACACAAUAUUUCCAUUCUGAGUAAGCUAUAUAGGAUCACACCAGCAGGGGUUUGCUACUGUAUUCCCUUCUGUUUUUAGCUCUGUUGUCCUUUCAGAAGCUGUGAAACUAAGAAUUUCUAAGGGAUGCAUUAAGGGAUUCAAAGCCCCAGCAGAGAACUAUGUAACAAUUAGCAAUCACACAAAAAGUAAACAAUACAGCCUGCAGCAAUACAAGGAGGGCAUUACGAAAUGGGUUUUCAAAUUUGGGGUGAUACUGGCAUAGUAUGACUUUUUACUCGCUAUUAUUCACAUCGUGCGUAUGGAUCUUUUUUGAUGGUGUAUAAAAUGAACUGGUCUAGAGCUAAUUAAGUAAUUGUUUUUGUUCUUUAAUUAAACUCUGUCUGACUCAGUGUCUCCCCAGGGGUCUGAUACACGUUGGAAUCUACUUUUUGGUGGGGGGGGUGGUGGUAAGGCUACUUCUAAGGUUCCCUCAUCAAAUUUAAAUACAGAAAAAUCCCUAUUUUGUGUAGCUCUACAUUUCGGUAAAUCUCUGCGUUGGAUCUUAGACUAGUUGAAGGACAAUGAAGAAAGAGUAAACUGAGAGAUCCAAGGUCUUCAUUUUACCAAAUAAAACAGGCCUAUUGGGUCCUGCCUGCUUCCUGGUGAGAGGCCAUCCUUUCCACACAGCCGUGCCACCUGUCCCCCAGGAGGAGGCACACAGCCCCUCUGCCUUUAAGACCAAUCUCAGCUUUAGGAAGGCAGGGUUCCAUUACUUUAGAUUUAACAAACUCAAACGUCACACUUCCUGUUAGCAUCACUCUGACUGGAACCCAGUUGUGGCAAGUAUUUCUGGUUAGCUCUUGGUGCCCAGGUACUGCCUUGCUGAUAAUCCUUACUGUCCCCGGCCAUUAAAGAGAUGGGUCAUGGUGGCUCUGUGACCUAGAAGCAGAAGGCCACCAUCCAGAAAGGAGGGCAUAAAAUACAGCAGGACAGUCUCUUACGGUUUUAUCUUAUUUUUCCUUCCCUUCCCCAAUGUUCAUCUGUUGUGUUUCUUAAAUUCCAUAAGAGACUCUUAAAUACAGAGAACAAACUGGGGGUUGCUAGAGGGGAGGUGGGUGGGGGGUGGACUAAAUGGGGGAUGGGCACUAAGGAGGGCACUUGUUGGGAUGAGCACUGGGUGUUGUAUGUAAGUGAUGAAUCACUGGGUUCUACUCCUGAAAUCAAUACUACACUGUAUGUUAAUUAACUUGAAUUUAAAUAAAUAUAUAACUAAAAAAUAAUAUAAAAUAAAGCAGGAGAAGAACACAGUAGUUGUUCUAAACUUCUCCUGGACACUUAUUCAUGGGUUUCUUUGUGCCCACACCCUGGGUUGUGUCUUCAACCCCAGGGAAUGAAUCCGGUUCUAGGUCAUGACUUCCAAUUGGUGUCCUCAUUUCGUGGUUAAUCUAACUGCCUCAUCUAAUUAAAGACAAAGCAUGUACCAGAAUCUGCCUUUCUGCCUGGUGCUCAUGUCAUUAGAUGAUAUUGUAUGGCCAUCUGAAGGCAAACCCAUCAGGGUUUCACUCUAGCCACCGUGUAUCUGCCUUUCAGCUGUUUGGGUUUUCUAACUUGGUCGAACCUGAUGAUGUAGGAAAAUGAAAUUUUGUUUACUUACCUUAGGAAAUAAAUUUUAAUCAGAUGGCCAGUGAUGGUCUGCUCACUGGAAGAGACACUUCAAGUGGGAAUGAUUUAUUUGAUGAGAUUGAUCUCAGUUUAGGAAACAGUGCCCUGUCCUUUCUGCCACGGUCUUAAAUUGGCUCUUGAAGAUUCACAAGGUUGCGAGGCCCUUUCAAAGGCAGAGAACAGGUAGUGGUAGGAGAGUGAGGGAAAGCUUGGUUGGUUGGUCUUUCUUUUAAUUAGGGGUGAAAAAUCUUUGAACAAGUAGCUAGCACAAUUUGCUGGUGUGUGUGUAUCUAGAGAAGCCCCAGGAGACAUUGACUUAAGCUCAUUGGCCUGAGCAUUAUCACCGGUCAUGUGACCAGACUUCUGAAGGGAGGCCAGUCUCCUGAUUUUUGUCUUGGUGGUUGGAGGCAAGCAAGCUAAGGGGAGUUACGAAUGGUUGUUUGGUCUGCCAUGGUGGUCUUGUCAUUUCUCUGGUUAUUCGGCCUGCAAGAUGGGUCCUCUGAAGGUUUAGCUUCUAACCAUUAUUCAUGUUCAUUUACUCCUUUAUGCUUUUGGUUAUAUUUUUCUGCACAUGCAUUUUGUUCAAGUUCCAGAUCACAGCAUCCAGGACCCUUUAUGCCCACCCUCACCCUCCUUUCCAGCUGGCCUCAACUUCCAUUUCCUUAAAGACUUCACUAUUCCACCAUGUGGAUUCUUUUACUGUUUGCUAGAAGUGGCAUAAUGUCUCAUGCACAGGUUGCCUCAAAUAUGUAGCUUUUACUCAUUAAUGAAGAGCUUCUCAAUCAAGAUCCCUUCUGGGAAGCCUUCCCAAAGGCCAUCCUUCUGGUUUGUAAAGCUGAUGAUGCAGCAUCAUAUUGGUUUUCUUGCAUGGUCGUCUGUUCCUACACUCAAAGAUUCCUUGGUCUAGUGGGACAGAGACAUGGGAACAAUGGCUCACACAUGGUAGGCAUUCAGCAAAUGUGCAGUAAAGGAGACUGUAGGAAGCUGAAGGAAAAGAACUAGCUUUUAGUAUUUCCUGGUUUCCCUCCACAAGAGCCUAACACUGGUAAUAAUUAAUAAUCUACAAUCGUUUAUUAGAACAAGCUAGUUUGAUUAGUUGAUUAAUCAAACCAGCAAAAAAAAAAAUUAGUCUUAUAACAUCUAUUGAGACUGAUACUGCUGUUGGCCCAUCAUUUUGGUGGCCAUUGUCACCAACUGCCCUGUGCGAUCUAGGGAACAGAACAUCUGUUUUCCUUUCUUUUCCUGUUCUCUCCUAAGUGUGUGCCCAUAUGUUUAUGUGACUUUCUUGUCUUUCUUUUUCUUUCUUUCUUUCUUUCUUUCUUUCUUUCUUUCUUUCUUUCUUUCUUAUUUCAUCACCAUCAAUAAUGGAAAUUUCAUAUCCCUCAUUGUUCAUCUGUUCAUGUCUGAUUAACAUUAUUGCCAUGACUUGUCUCUGACUCAGUGGACCAGGGGUCGUCUUUGUAUCCAAAAGCUGGGAUAAAUCUAAAUAUUCAAGCACAGAAAUCAUUUGCUAUUCACAGCACUGACCUCUGGCAAGCAGAUUUUGUGCACAAUACCAUGAAAUAUGAUUCAUCGAGGAAUGAAGAGUUAUUUCUUCCCCACAGAAAAUAACCUGAAGACUACUCAGUCUCUUGCAGACUUUUAAUUCUAUUAAAAAAUGAUAAUACUGAAUUCGCAUUGCUUAAUACAUACUAAUGCAGAUCUUUGUUUUGUUUUAUCCCUUCUCAAAGGAUUUGAGGAUCCACGGAAUAUCUAUAGAAGUUGACAGAGAGGCUGAUCAUCUUGGAGUAGUAGUGAAUCAGCUGGCUUGCCGAGAGGUAGGAGUAUCCUUGGUAGAAGGACCACCUAGACCAUGGCAGAGAUAAAAAUAGAAAGUCCUAUCUUCAGAUACAUGGUCUUUUUUACUGAGAUGUAACUGACACAUAACACUGUACUCAUUUUUAUAACAUAAUGUUUUGACAUAGGUAUAUAUGGUGAAAUGAUCACCACAAUAUGUUUAGUUAACGUGCAUCACCACACAUAGCUACAAUUUUUGUGUGUUGUGAUGAGAACUUUUAAGAUCUGUUCUCCCAGAAACUCUCAAAUACACAAGACAGUAUUGUUAACUAUGGGUACUAUGCUGUGCGUUACAUCCCCAGGACUUAUUUCUAGAACUAGGAGUUUAUACCUUGUGACCACACCUACCGGGUCUUAUCUUCUUAUCUCUGUUUUUGUAUUCUUAACACGCAUACGUUUUUAUGAACUACUGAUGCCUCUUGGAAAUAAAAGUCUGAAAUUGGGCUUACUUAGGCAGGGUCUUAUGGGGUCUUAAAAACAAGGGGGUCUUAAUAACUUUGUUAUUACAAAACUGUGUGCCUGUUUGAUUUAUUUUGGGUCGUUUAUAGACCAAAAUUAAGAAACAGGUGACGUUUUACUAUCCUCAUUCUUUAAGUAAAUACUUAUUUAGUGGUCACUGGGAAAAAAAAAUGUAUCCUCUGGGAAUUAGUCAGAUGUGGGAUUGAAGCCAUAUAUUGGUGUGAGACUUUGGGGAAGUUGUUUAACUGUUUAAAACAUUGGUUCCUACAUCUACCAAAAAAAAAAAAAAAAGACUAAUAUUCUUUAUCUCCAGGGUUGUGUGGAUGGGAGACUCAAAGAUGAGUGCUCAAAGGAAUACUGGUUGUUGCUAUUAAUACGAUUACUACUGUUACCAGUUCUAAUAACUGUUCUCAAUAACCGAAUGAAAUAAGGCACUUUCACUUUUCUUGGGGCGGAGGGCUGUCAUCGACUAAUUAUGCCACAAGACAGCAUAAUCUCAGGGCAAUAAUAGAGGUAGAAACAAAACGUUAUGAGAUUAGAAAAUGGGUAAAUUUGGACUACACGGAGACCUCAGAAAAAUCCCCAGGAGCGAGUAUCUGUGGUGAGCCUUCAGAAAUGAGCAGGGUCUUAAUAGAAAUCCUCAUUCCUCCUCCUUUCUGCACUCAGUGCCUUCCUCAGAAAAGAAUGUCGUACUAACGCCUAUAGAAGAAAUACUCUCCAUUACUGUAUUUGUGUGUAACUCUUGUGUGGAAGAUAGAUGCGAGAUUAUAUGGUUGUGAGGUUCUAUGGUUUUGUGGGUCCAGAGACCUACUGGAUUUGGGGGAGAACCAGUCGCCUGGAAAGGAGUGUCUCAGGCCAGAUAGCCAGACACCAAAGAGUCAAAUCCAGGUGCUGCUGGAUGUUUCUUUUGGACUUACCCAUGAAGUCGAUUGUCUACUGGAGAUGUGGUUUCCUUUGGAAGGUUCUGGCACUGUCCCUAUAGAGAUGGACUCGGUAUGAGGAGUUAGGAAGUCCAGAGACUUAACAGAAAAGUUGUGGGGAUCCUUCGGUACUCUAAAGGAGCAGGCCCUCCCUGGAUGGGAGCCAGGUGGACUCCGGAAGGUCAUGCGCAUUGGGGUUAGGAUUCCAGCUCUGUCGUCUACCGAUGGGUGACAUCGGGCAAGUUACUAAAUCUCUCUGGGUCUUGUACCCCUUACGACGUGUGAAUAGUGAAAUCUUCCUUGGAUGACUGACGUGAGGGUUAAAUAGCUCCUACGCAUGGAAAGCUUCCAGACUGGAGUCACAUAGUGCUAGUUCGCGGUCUUCCUUCCCUCCCUCGUCCUCUCCAUUUCCUCUCUUUCUGCCACCAUCGUAUUUGAGUAUUCCAGCCGGUAUCUGCUCUGCUAAGAGAUGCCGAGAGGCGUUAGUCAACGCAUGACCCAGAGCAUACCAUCCCUGGGGGUGGCUGUGGUAACCAGAACCAAGCAAGAACCCCAAGAGGUAAAGCUCUGGUGAUGGGGGGAGUGAGGGAGAACCAAUACUCAAGCAGCCAACCUUCCUCCUAGGAGAUCAUCCUUCUAGUGCUAAAUUUUAAUGGUCUGCAUUUUACUAAAGGACACGUGCCCCCUGUAAGGCUAUCCACACUUUCAUGCAAUACUAAGUAAACGUACGGCUUCUCCUACUGUCAUAUAAUGUUCCUCCAUGUGAAAGGAAUUUUAAAAAUUCUUAAGCAAUUUGGGAAGAUAUUUUUGGGAGGAUGAGGACCAGCUGGGUGGCAGGGACGUUUACUCUUAGGUCACUCGACUCAGAAGUUAAACAUUUACUUUACCUAAUUAUAAGUGUCUCUGCCAUAGCGGGACGGGAGCCCAGAAAUUCCGGUUUUUAAAUUGCUCAGCCUCAUUUGAUGAUCCAUGAUGAAUGGAUUUCUCUGACUUUGAUAAGCCUGGCCCAAUAAUACCCUGGCUGACAUCAUUAUCUAUCAGUGUUCAAUUCUUUACUUGAGUCAGUAAAUGCAAAGCAAAAGAGAACUGAGAGGCAGAAAUGCUAUGGGGCACAAAUCUUUGAAGCUAAAGUGUGUUUGGCUCAAAUGAUCCAGUGUUGGAGCAGUCCCCAGUCUUUCUUAGCCCAGUGGAGAAAAGUUGUUUCCCUAAUGAGCAACUGGGAUUCGAGAAGGAGCUAAUCCUAACUCUGAACUUGAAAUUUGAAAAUCAUGGAUCCUUAGGGAGGGAGGUCGUGUUAAAAUUCAACUUCUCCUUCACAUGUGUAUAUCUGACAGUGUAACGUGGGAAAAGCACGUAUGUUUGUGAUGGUCAUCUCGCAAGCAACGUGCAAGUAAGCAUUCCUAAGUGACUAGACGGAGAUGGUCUGCAAGUGUUUGUGAGUGAAACACGUCUAGUUCUGUAAAUGGUCCUCAGGGACAUGGGACAAAUCGAAUGGGUUAGAGCUAAGAGGGCACCGACCUGCAGGUAUGCAUGCAUCACUCUCAGUGUGAAAAUAGUCAGGAGUGCUGAGCAUACGUGAGUCUGAAUGCUGUUUGUGACUCUGAUGCUACCACGAGACAGAUGAAGAGGAUUGAGAGAGGAAUGACAAGAAACACAUAUGUAGAAACGUUAACUGCUUUUUAGCAUUGAUCGUGCUGUUCACAAAGCACGUGUGUGACUCAACUCAAUAACAGUUUAGAAUUCUGGUCUCUCAGAAUUAACAUUCGAGAUAUUUGCCCCAUGACUGAAUGCCUGGGGUUAAAAUUUAGGUAAGUUUUAAAAGCUGGAGAUGCUGCUGAGAUAGAUUUUUAAAAAUCUCUGGUUAAAUGGCGGUCAGCGCACAUCACGUUCCAGGUUGGCUGAACUCAAUCUUGUGAACAAUGUCAACAUCACCUCUGUAUUCUGAGCCAUGCUGAUCACGUUCUGCCAUGACGGGCUGGACAUUUUUAAUGUUCUCUCCUGAGUGCAGUAUUCUCUCUGCUUCCUUUUCAUUUUAGAAUACGCAUGUAUAAAUUGUCAAAAUCUUCCUCAUUCUGUUAUUUAUUAUAUUUCAUUGUUGAGUCUAUUGGAGAUAAAAACAUGCCAUUGUUAUCCUGACCAAAAAAAAGAAACAAAAAUUCCUUGUUCCACAUCUUGAUAGUUACUUCCAUCUCUCGUGCAGGAAGAAGUGGAGGCUGAAUGAAAGCCUAACCCCACGUAAUGAGAAAUGCGUAUGUGCACGCAAUCUGAUGCAUGUCUCGCAACCAACAAAUAAAAAAAAACAUGUUUGAAAGAGGAAGAAAUGACCCACAUUUUGGUUAUUACUUGGAAUAUGGAACAUCAACUAUUACUCCUGACUGCAUUGUUUAAACUCUCUGCAGGAGAUGUCUGCCCCCAGGAAAUUCUCGAUCCCCAACAUGGAGGAAAUUGUAAUGGAAAAACCCAUUACACUGACCCCUGCCAAGGGGGGUUUGACUCUAGUAGCAAACAAAACAAAACAAAACAAAACAACAACAAAAAUAAAACAAAAAAACGAUAGUAAGAUGUUUAAUAUCCACCCACCUUGUACUCAUAUAGUCCUUGCUUCCUAUUGGGUAACAGGCAAGACAAAUUUCUGGAUAUAUCUAUGAAGUUCUAGAGGGCUGUUGAGGAUGUAUGCAAGGUCGAAGGCAAACCCAGGUUUGCAAUAAGGAGAAUGGAAAAAUAAAAAUGAGAUUAAUGAAUAAACUCAACUGAGUGCUCUUUGUAGUCAAGGAAGGAGAAAUCAAUACAAGAGUUAACUUCAUGCCAGGUUCCUUACAAUCAUGUCAUAUAAUCCGCACUACAACAGGAAACUGAGGCAAGGAGGGGUUAAACAAUUGCCCAAGGUCACGUAACUGCCAAGAAGCGAAUCCUCCAGUCGUCUGACUUCUUCACUUAGAUCAAACUGCCUCCCAGAGGUCAUUGACAGCAUUUAUUUACCUUAUUUUAUGCAACACCUAACAGUAACACAACAGGCAGAUCUAUAUGUUCAGGUAAUUUUAUCUGAUGGCAACAAAAAGGCAAUGAAGUUUUCUGCUGCUUGUAUCUGCUAAAAGGUUAGCAUUCAGUGACAGGGUUUACCCGUCAAAGAUGUCAGUGAGCAUGUAAUGAGAAAAUAUCACCAGUUGAGUAAAGCAACAAAUGAAAAUGAUUAAGCAGCGCCUGGGUGGCUCAGUAGGUUAAGCGUCCGACUUUGGCUCGGGUCAUGAUCUUGCAGUUUGUGAGGUUGAGCUCCGCGUUGGGCUCUGUGCUGACAGCUCAGAGCCUGGAGCCUGUUUUGGAUUCUGUGUCUCCCUCUCUCUCCCCCUCCCCCGCUCGCACUCUGUGUGUGUGUGUGUGUGUGUGUGUGUGUGUGUGUGUGUGUGUCUCUCUCUCUCAAAAAUAAAUAAACAUGUAAAACAAUUUUUAAAAAAUGAAAAUGGUCAAGUUGGGAAAAGCAGUUAAUGUCGGAGAUGUGGGAUGUCAACACGCCCUUAGCAGGUUCUAUCAGUGUGACCAUCUUUCAGUGAUAUCUGCGGAUCUUUGUAUCUCAACUUCAUUUCUUUCCGAGCCAUUAAUGAUGCAGUCCUUGGGAUGCCCACAUUCAUUCCAGGCUGGUGUACCCGUGUUUCAGAAUUUUCCCUUGUCGUGUUUUGAUAUUUCCUAAUUAAGAAUAUGCCGUUUCUGGGGCGCCUGGGUGGCUCAGUCGGUUAAGCGGCCGACUUCGGCUCAGGUCAUGAUCUCGCGGUCCGUGAGUUCGAGCCCUGCAUCGGGCUCUGGGCUGAUGGCUCAGAGCCUGGAGCCUGUUUCAGAUUCUGUGUCUCCCUCUCUCUGACCCUCCCCUAUUCAUGCUCUGUCUCUCCCUGUCUCAAAAAUAAAUAAAAAACGUUUAAAAAAUUAAAAAAAAAGAAUAUGCCGUUUCUAUAUAGCUUUUCAUAUUUUCUCCCUAGCGUAGCUUAACGUGAAAACCGUAUCUUCAGUUAGAUACUCCUCCGUGUCUACAAACAUCAUCAAAAGAGGAAAAAUACGCCUGGCUCUUGGCUAUUUUCAUCAGCUGUGGGUCUGAAUGCUUCCGUGUGAUUGAGAUGCAGGCCCUUCUCAUUUACUCCCAGGAAACAGUCCCAGUUGUCUGAAGAGUCAACACCUUCCGACAGGGACCAUGUGGCCAGCCGUUCACUAACUCCCACAAGGCUCCUUGUGAAUUUGCCUCUCUCCCCGUGACCAGUGACACCGUCUCAAGAGCCGAAGUGGCUUAAAGCAAUAUUGUUUCCCUGUUUGGGUCCUCCAGGUAUCACCAGGCGUUGGUACCCGGGUUGAAGGUCUGUGAUGGAACUAAAUUGAAUGCUGGAUGCCAUUUUGGAAACUUAACAUCGAGGAUUAUGAACAGCAAAAGAACAAAAGCAUGAAAGGCUUUUGUUUGGUUGGUUGGGUCGAGACUGGAAAACAAUGUAGAAAAUCCUUCAGGAGUAGACUCUUUGAAAGGUGACUAACAAAUACAGGGUGAUGAUCUAAUUCGUUUACUGGUUUACAUCCGCAGAUCUUUGGCUUUUGCGCCGUAUUAUUUAUUUUUAUCAUCCAAUCCAUUUCUGUUGCUUCACAUCCCUAUACUCAGAGGUCAGGUGGAAGAGAGAAUGCCAAGGCAAUGCAAGAGUUUAAGAAACAACUUGUGUUAUUUCUACUUACCUGGACCACCGCUUCUGAAUAUUUUUUAAUACCGGUUUUGUCAUUUGACAGCAAAGCUAAAAAUCCCAAACUGGCUCCACCAGUCUCACGUAGUUUCCAAGAGGCAGUUUCUGUGAAUAUCAAAUAAGAUAAAAUGCACGAAAAAAAGAGAUACUUUUCCACUGAGCACCUAUCUUGAGUUAUGCCAAGUUACAGAUGUGGGGACACCAAAAUACAAGACAUUAAACUUGCCAGCCAGUGGAGAGACAGACACAGGAAACAGAAACUGUGACGAACCAUUAAGAUCCCUAAAACCAAGGUCUGAGGAGCCAUGAUAAUACUAGGGAGCCCAACAGAGGAGGACAGGGCACUCUGGGCAGAGGGGCCCGCGUGUGGAAAAACAGAGGGGAGAGAUGAUAAUGUCACUGAAACCUUUAAGUAAUUAAAACGGGGUAAACAUUUUGGCAGAGAAAAUGGCAAGGCCUGAUGUAUAGGAGUCUGGUUCAUAAACAGUUUUGUUUGCCACGGAAAGCCAUUGGCUCUUACCCUGUGGGCAACGGGAAAGCGCUGGUGAGUUUGCAACAGGGGAAGCGAUGAGUGGAAAAGCCUUGCAAGGCUGUCAGGGGUGUGUAAUGCCCGAAGUUCCGAAACCUCCCACAAAAGUCCACCAGAGUCAUAAGUCAAAGCCAAGCGGCAAGGGUCGUUUAUUGCAGGUUCGAACCUGGUCCUCUGCGCACUCGUCGCCGGUGACGCAAGAGGCCACGAUCAGGGUUGGUACAGCGUUUUUAUAGACAGAGACAAAUAGCACAGGGGAGGUUUCAAAUUAUGAGGGGCCUGAUUAGUUGAUUUUAAAGUAAGGACAUUUGUUGUUCUCUGGGCGUCCUUUGUCUGUCCUUUGGCGGGAAGGCUUUGUCCGUUACUUGUGGCGGGAGGAAAAAAAGGGGGAAGGGGGAAGGGGGUAGGUGAGGAAUGUGCUAAGCAAGCAGGUUUACAGAAGCGAGAAAUGCCGGUUAGUUUAUGUACAAUCACUCAUUCCAUUACAUAUCAGACUACAUUUAGGAAGGUUUACAACCCAUUCUACUACACAGCGGGUUACAUUCAGGAAAGGCCUCACAAUGCUCGUAGCAAACAGCAAGCAAAACAGACUUCUCAGCAAUUGUAUUUCUUAUCAAAGAUCCAUAAUAAGCAGAAAAGAGAACUUUAGCUUUAAACUAAGGCAGGGCUGUCAUUUGGAUUUAAAGCUGUUCUUUUCAGGGUGGUUGGAGGAAGGAGUGUAGGAGCCGAGUGCAGACGUCAGGAGCUCACCGACGACGAGGCAGGAGCUCGCACAGCAGCAGUGAGCUUUGAAGGUCAAGAAGAGUGGAGGCGCCAGAGACACCGAGGGCGAAACGGCAAGGUGUCUGGUCCUAGAAUCACCUGAAUCCAGAAGACCCCGUGCACGGUCAGCGGCCCAUCCUGUCUCAGGCUCACCAUCCCCGGGCUCAUUUCUCCCCUUCUAGCUUUCCUGGAGGGGAGGUUUUCUUUUCCAUUUUGUGAGAGUUACGGGGCCCGCCGUGAGUCUCGGAAGGAUGCUUCUGCGAUUUUCAGAUGCCAAGAAUGUUGCCAACGACAUCACAUUUCUAGGGUAAUUCUUCUCCCCAACUCUGUGAGGACAGGAAGCAGACCUGUCUGACCCCCCUGCUGGGUCCCCCGCACAGUGUCUGCCAGAGACUGGAUGCUCCGUAAGGACCUGUUGGAUGUGCCCGUGAUAAACGGUGCAGGGCCUUGCCAGCAAGAUAUCCUGAGAGGUCAGAGGGGCAGACGGAGCUACGCGAGGAAGUGACAAAGUUGUAAGCAGGCUCCGUGAUGGACUUGGUAAUGAUAGAAACCAUGUGUUGAGGUCUCAUACGUCUCAUGCACCAACACAAACGUGUUUUGUGUGCAUUAUCUGAAUUCUUACAGCAACCCUUCGUGGGUGCUGUGUUUAUCCCCACUUUGCAAACGAGGAAACCAAACCUAAGAAGUUACAGUCUCGUGACUGGCAAAGCCUCGGCUUUCAUCCUGGGUGAGUCGGGCAAAAACCUGCCUAAACCACCGUGCUGGAUUUCACGGCGCCUUGAAUGAUGUGAAUUCGGUCAAAAACGACUAUUAAAAUGGGUCAGUCCUUUCUUUCCGCCUUACAUUUCCGUGCCUUUUCAUCUGUGGAUUGUUUCACGUCAUUUCUCAAUACACAUGCCUGGAUUUGACAGACGUGGAUGCUGUCUUCCUCCUCCCUUUCCAUUCAUCCUCUCCGUCCCCCCAAAUGAUGGUACGCAGUCGUUUGUUGGGGUGAAGGCGCUGAGCAGUUAGAUCCAUAGGUCUCCACGCCGUGUUUUCCACUCCAGCCUCUCUCUUGUGGGGGCUUGAGUCUCCCUGGCUCUCUCCCUUUAAUCUCCCCUCCCCCAUCCCUACAAGUUGGUAGGUGAAGCUCUGGGAGGAGUAGCACUUGGAGGUGAAGGUACUGUUAACACAGCAGGUACUGCUAGUGAGAACAGCGUCCUUGCAGCCUUCAAGGAAGAUCAGCCACUGGAGGGUAGGGACGGGGCGUUCUUUAUCUCCCUGUGCAUCACCUCAUCCACUGGCUGGCACCGAGAGGCACCUGAGAAUUGUGUGCUGAUCUGCCGAAGUAUGGACGUGUGGGAGCCAUUCGGGAGGAAGAAAACUCACCGCUCCUUUUCUUUGCUGUGCAACAUACUCUUCUUUUUUAUGUGUUUUGGACACAUUCACACAGUACCUUCAACACAGACCUAGGAGCAUCUUUUCCUUUCUCCCUCUGCGAUUUAUCUCAUCGCUAAUAAAUGUAUUCAUUAUAUACGGGGUACCAUUACAAGAACAGACCUCUUACUUAUCACCAUGCAGAUACACAUGUCUGCUCGCCUUCUUGGUCUCAGAUGAGUAGCUAUCCGUAUCACGAAGCUUCCACAGUAAACCGUCCUUGGCUUUCAAUACGUCUCUUCCUUGAAAGGCUAAUACUGCGAUAUGCAUUAAUUUAAUGGCAGAUUUGGGUAAUGUGCUCCCAUUUUACGAAUACUGUGGCUAGUCUUAAAAAAAAAACAAAGAAAAGAAAAAAGAAAAACUUUUGACCAUAAAUUGUUCUCUGAAUUCAAGAAUGUCUCUUAUUUGUGAUAUCAAUUCCCCUUGUGCCUCGGACUUUGUUUUUUUCCCCAUUUCACCUCCAAAACUCCAUUGAAAACAUCUGCUAAGGACUUAUUUAAACAGCUAGUUAAUGCUUUAUAAAGCUCAGAGGCGCGCCCAUCUGUUCCAGGAGCAUUCUCUUUUCUCAAGAGCUAGAUCAUAUCUUCUACCCGUCUGACAGCUGGGGUUGCAUCAAAACUCUUAAUUUCUCUAUCAGUAGUAUGGCACCUUGCAUUAAGUUUAUACCUGAUUUUUUUCUCUCUUGACUUGCUCUGAACAAAUAUAAGAACAAUCAAGUUAUUUCCUUCUUUUUUUUGGUUUUACUUAGAUCUUUCAAUUUUGUUUUCAUUUUUAGAGCCAAGAGGCCUUCUUUUUCUAAUCUUUGUAACAAAAUAGAAGUCAGGGUGUGGUUCCGAUGGGUUACAUUUCUGGCAUCUUGCUCCUUGGACCCUGUCUGCAAACCCCUUGAGCUUACAUGAGGUCCACAGGGAUAAUUUGCAUACCCCUUACUAGAGAAUGAAGACCAGUCCCAAUAUCCCCUCCAUCCAUUCUCCUUGGAAUGUUUCUGCUUUCUCGGGGAUGAGGCAGAAGCAAAUCCUCCGUAUCUCCCGACAGGGGAAAAUUCUUUUCCAGCUCUUCAGAUGGUCCCAAAGAAGGGCACUGAGAUGACAGAGGAAGCUCCCUCUUCCCCUCCACUCCUUUCCGGGUGCUCAGACUCAAAGCACAAUUAUUACUGUUCUCCACACAAUCUGUUUCUCUCUCCUAUGUCCAUCGUUUUAUAUUUUCAAGGUAAGCGAGAAGGUUCGGGAGUUACAGGACCAAUUCUCAGAAAUUUCUUUUGUUAGGGGCCCCUGGGUGGCUCAGUCGGUUAAGCGUCUGACUUCGGCUCAGGUCACGAUCUUGCAGUUCGUGGGUUCUAGCCCCAUGUUGGGCUCUGUGCUGACAGCUCAGAGCCUGGAGCUGCUUCCGAUUCUGUGUCUCCCUCCCCCACUCACGCUCUGUCUCUCCUUCUAAGAUAAAUAAACAUUUAAAAACUUAAAAAAAAGAAAUUUCUUUUAUGAAGUCUGCAUGUGGGGAUCGUUUCAUCUUCUUUAGGGUAUCUGGUACCUAAUUUAUUAGCGCAUCGGUUGACAGAGAUUUAACUUCUGGCUCCACUUUGCUCACCGCAUAAUAUAUUACAGGGACACCAAUUCAGAGGUCCUCAUUUGCUCUGGUCCUCAUUGCUUGUCAGAGGAAAUCGGAUGGCCUCUUGCAGGCAUUUAUCCCCGACAUACUCAAACGUUGAUUCACCCCAUUGGCUGCCUUUUUCUGGUGUAAGAAUCCCAGUUCCCUCAACCUUCGUCCUGCGUCCAUCUUCCGUUCUUCUCCUGAUUUUCAGGAAUACCCUCUGCGAGGCGGCUACACACCUAGUCUCCUUUCUUUUGCUCCAUCAAGUACAGGGAUGCUGGAAGGAAGAGGUACCUCACACAUGUCAUGCUGACUUAAAAACUUAGGGUUUAUUUUUGGCUAAAAUUGAGGAUUUAAGAAAGGGCUUAUCUGACUGAGGUUUGCCCGAGAACACUGUCAUGCCCGUAGGUGUCUGAUUCCUUCUCAGAACAGAGCUCCUGUGUCUCAGAGAGCAAGCAUAGGUCUCCAUUUGGUCCCCAACCAAGGAAAAUACUGUCAGUUCCAGCGAGUCAAAUACAAGGUCAUCUGUGCCAGUCCAUUAAAAAAAAAAAAUCACCCAACUGCCAUUGGUAGAUGACGGUUUCUAAGCACAAAUCCACAGACUGGAAAAAAUGUGUGCAGUUACUUUGCGUUGAUGUAGGCAUGGCUGUUUUUGUUUACCACGAAGAAAAAAAUAAAAAGACUACUUCCUGUACUUUUCUUUACACACGACGAGAGCCAUGUUUCUCUGUAAAACCAGUGUGCCAAGAAGGCUAGUAACAGAGCUGGAAAGUUAUCCCGUAUCCCGUCCCCCUUCCCAUACUCUGGGGACGUGCUGGCUCAUCGGGUUGGAAUUGUGCGGCUGUUCUGGGAUCUGAGGAUCUCCACACUUUUGGGCAGGUGUUUCUCUGUGGCCAGUUUUUUCCUGCUGUGGAGAGAGUGGUAACGACAGGAUUUGUGCAUAGUUUGUUACCCAAACGGAGUCAUUGUUGAACAAGAUAUCUUCAGGAAAGACUGGCAGGUAAGUCUAUCUGCUAGAAGUGAAGCAAGUCUGUUUUUGUGUUUGUUUGUUCCUUCGUUUGUUUUUUUAAGAAGCGGUCCAUGGACAGCCAUCUCUAGGGAACAUAGCCAAGAAGGAAAUGCAUGGUUAUCUUGAUCGUUCUCCCUUGUUUCCUUUGGGGCCUUUUGUUCAUCUGGUUCUCAGUCAACUUUGAGACUCGUUUUAAUUUAUGCUCUCAUUUGAAGAACGAGUGGAGUGCAAGCUCUUUGAAUGUUAGCUGACACCAACAUUAGAUGGCCCUCUAAAGAGCAUUAAAGUUUUAUUGUGGGCUCUUACAGAUUAAAACAAAUCUAAAUCCAAAGAUCAGAGUUUCUAAUGAUAGAACUACAGGUGCAGGUGGUAAGGGAGAUGUUUCCAGUACUCUCAGACUCAUAGCUGGUCACUUCAUCUAUCUUUAAAGCCAGGAUCUCUGGAAAGAUGGUCACGUUUUACAGGUGAUCAUGGGCAAACUCUAAAAUGUCCUUGUCGUCAAAAGUGAAACAUAGAGAUUCUAAUUUGCAUCAUGGUUUUCUGGGUCUUUCUGGUUGGACUCUUUCCUGGAGAUCUUUUAGAUUUUCUUACAUCCUGUUUCCCAGGCAAGGCAUGAUAUACAUUUCCUUACUGCCUUCUGAGGCUCUGGGGGCCUCUGGAAAGUUUUCCUCUCCCUUUCCCAAAUUCUUUUGAAGAAGCUUCGUAGCAGUUCCAAGGGCAUUUAUUUUCCUGCAGAGCAGAUGGAGGAAGACAAGAGCGGAGUGAACUUUCUCAUGUUUUCCACCGAGAGUCAAGUGUUUUCAUCCGACUUCCUCUUUGCACUUGAAGCCAUCAUCUCUGUAAGAAACUGUUGUAAUAUCGAAAGCAAAGCAUAGAACCAAAAUUCAUUGUCAUAAAGAAUAUAUAUAUUACGGGAUUACUUUCAACUUUGCGAAUCAUUAAGACUUUUCCUGUGAGAUAAUUGUCUCUUGACUAGGCAAUGGCUUCUUCUUUACCUGGCCGAAUCCCGGCCUUCCCCUCUGAACGCUACCACCCAGAGUGAUCAUUCUCACAUCAGUUACUCCAUCAAAUAGCCAUGUACUGGCUUAAGUUUGCGUUGUUACCAUCCUUAACACUUUACAUUGUAUUCAGUAUGUGUUAUACCUUCAUGACAUCCCUAUAGGGCUUUAUUCUUCUGAUCAAACGGGAAGUAUGACAAGUAUGGGGCUUCAGAACCCUAUUUAAUUCUAAAUCUUGGGCUGGACACAAAGACACACAUGGGUUCUCGAGUAGUUACUUGAACAUCCUGGCAAUCAUUAAUGUGAAAAAAGCAAAAAACACAACUGCUGAAGGGGGGCUCUGUGAUGCACCCAGGACGCCAGCACUGAAGACAUGCUUGCAGUUACCGAGUGUGGACAUGGGUCGUGAAUGGACCACAACAUAACCCCAUGAUGGCCGUUGUUUGGUGAUGUCAGGGGAUAACUGUGAACAGCAGCAUCAAAGCCACCUGAAGCACACCUUACGGUAUGAAAAUAUGUAACUAUUGGUUGCUAGGAAAAAAAAAACAAUUAGAAACACCCAAUUAGAAACAGAAGCAAUAUCUUUAAAAAUAAGCUCAUAGGGGUGCUUGGGUGGGUCAGUUGGUUGAGCGUCCCACUUCGGCUCAAGUCAUGAUCUCACAGCUCGCAAGUUCGAGCCCUGCGUCGGGCUCUGUGCUGACAGCUCAGAGCCCGGAGCCUGCUUGGGAUUCUGUGUGUCCCUCUCUCUCUGCCCCUAACCCACUCACAUUCUGUCUCUGUCUCUCUCAAAAAUAAAUAAGCAUUUACAAAAAUAAGCUCAUAAAAAAACUCCAAAAAUAAAUCUCUUCUACUUGCUCAAAUCUGAUCAAAUUUACAUGUGUGCGAUGUUCAAAUGAAAGCCAGUUAUCCAUUAUCAUUUAAGCCCACACAUAAAUGCAAAGUCAUUAGUCUGAUAAGGAAAACUGUAUUUAUAUAUCAACCAUUAUUUGUUGUCCACGGGGGAUAAGAAAUCCGUCUUGGUCCUCUAUCAUUCCCAAGUUAAUAUUUGGUUCACUGACAUAUCUUCGAAAGAGAUUUGUAUAUACUAUCAAAAGUGAGGCAGAAAACUAAUAUUCAUUGUGCACCAAGAAUAUGUGAGGUGCUGUGUUAUAAUUUCAACCUUUAUUUUAUCUUUGCAUCUGUGGUCUGAGACUAGAUAGUGUUACCUUCAUUAUUUACAGAAGAGAAAAGCAAAGCUCUGAGAGGUUAAAUAAUAUAUCUAUAGCUACAUUUGGGGAGUGCCAGGACCAGGAUACAAUGCCAGGUCUGUAAACUCCAGAAUGCGUUAUUUUCCAAACAAAAACACUUUGGGGAAAUCACGAAUGUUCACAGCGCCAGACUUAACAAAGACAUUUUUAAAGUGCAAAAUGUCAUUUAUGGGAAGCAAUAACCUUCAGUUAAAUAAACUGAUGUAUCAUUUACAGUUACUUUUCCAACCCCAGACGUUAACUGGUCUGGUAUUUCAUAUCCCCUUCUGCCCAGUCUCCUACCUACCCCACUUUGCCCCACUCAGGCUACAGGAACCUGCCCAACUUUCUAUUGGUGUUUGUGGCACUGAGACCUUCGUCAACGGGGACCGGCUUCCCACAUGCCUCGCGGAUCCGUUUGAUGUCCCAGGUAUAGUUCUUGACCACAGAAGAGCUUUGUUCUCUGAGCAAACUGAACAGGAGAGGUUGCAGGCUCGGAGACACCAGGCACCAUCAUAGGCAAGGGGGAAGCCAGGAGUUGGGAAAAAACGGUUUUGAGUCAGAGUCUGAAUGAUGAUGCAUGGGGCACGGGGCUGGUAUCACAGGGCCCAGUGCUCAGAAGGGUCCUGUGCUUGGCUUGACAGUGCUUCCAUUCUGGAAGUCUUCAUCAUUUUAUCUUCGAGCCUGUGUUUUGCAAGUGAGGCCCGAUGGGAUGAGGAAGCAUGAAUGUGAGCAGAGGAGAUGUACAUAAGGUGCACGUCCAUUGUCUCCUGCAGUCCCAUUUGAGCACAGUGUUUGUGAUGUCCAUGGGCACAGAGGUUCAGUGGACCCAGACACGUGGAAGUUUAGCAAGACUGAGAGUGAGCACAGGGUGAGCACUGCUGGCCCCAAGGGACCGUGCUUUCUGCUCAAAUCAGAACUUUCAAUGCAGACAAAGGGCAGUUGCACUGUAAGAAACAUGACUACCAAGGGACCUUACCAUGUCCUUUCUUAUCCCUGUUCCUUCCCGUAUUUGUCAAACCACCUACAAUGAAAACAGAUCAUUGAAGCAAAGAGACAGAUAAGACGACCCAGAGUGCAUGUCUUUUCUGUCCUAACUUAGUCAUCCUCAGGGUGGAGAAUUUGAUAGAAUAUGAGCAUAUCAACAAGUGAAAUGAAAACAAUUUUUAUUUUUAUUUUUAUUUUUUUGUGAAGCAUUUCCAUUGUUUUGGUUGAGAAUGAAAUCUAUAUAUACACAGAUGCAAAUACAAGCCUAGGAAACAAAAAUUGUGUAAUUUCAGUGAUUCUGCUUCAGAGCUAAAUGCACUUAUAUUUGCAUUUAAAACUGGCAUUGCAUGAUAUAAAGAUGAGCAGUAAAAAUACUAAUAAUUUAAAAUUUUAAUUUUUUUAAAAUUUGGAGCAACUUUAAAUAGCAACCGAAAACUGCCAUGACAAAUUGAGAGAUUGCAGAAGGAAGCUUUAUAUUUUAGGAACUUUAAUGGCAUUUUUCCUGCUUUUGGAACAAGGGGGCUCACAUUUUCAUCUUGCACUGGGCCCCACAAUUCAUGAAGCUGGCCGUGGUAGGGUGCCUCGCUUCUUUUCCCGAAGGCCAGCAGCUGGGUUUCUGCCCCCGUGAGGGAGAUCGGUGGGGUUCUACUCUGGAGACACUGAACAGCUGCAGAAAAACAAAAACAAAAACAAACGAAACCAAAAACAAAAAACCCAACUUCCAUGAACUUAGGAGUUCACCAAUAAACACUGGACGUCCCCCCCACCGCCUGCCCCACUCACACUAGAGAAACACCUACAGGGGCCCGGGCCCUCCCAUGCACACUGGAUUUCCCAUCCGUUCUAGGGCUUUGCUCUAUGAACAGACAGCCAAAGACCUGCAAAUAUCAGAGGAAAGCUUCCAACUGGCCAAAGAGCAGCCAGGUAAACAUCCGAUCCCCCGGGGCGGGGUGGUGGGGGAAGGGGGCCUGAGGAGACUAUCUGAUAUGAUAAUGCAUUGGGGGAAAAAAACAAAAAAAACUCCUGAGAUUGCCAUAAAUCAAGCAUUUGAACCGGUAUCGAUGGCUGAUAUAUAGAAAACCAUGAAGUCUCAAAAAGUGUGACAAAAAUUGACGGCACGAGAGAAAGAAGGACAUCAGAAUGCGCUACAUGGCCUUUCUCUUAUAAUGUGACCACUCUGCGGUGGGUUAAAUAAAAUUCUUCUAUGACUUUACUUGGAGGGUCUAGUGAGGACAAGUAGAAAAGAGUGCAGGAAGCCGCCGCUCAUCUCGCAGCAGAAGUCAGGGUAAUCACUGAGGAUUAUGGGGAUACCCUCCAGAGGAAACAGGCAAGGAGGUUGGAAGCGAUGCCUCCCGGGAGCACGGCCGAGCAGCGAGAGGCAGAGAGAGCAAGCGGGGCUGGUUGUUUUUCUUCAAACAUCCUUUACUUCCCUUUAAUUUUUAAACUCUGCACCUGCAUUGCAUGGACAGAUCUUCGCGGUAAAGGAAAAUAAAUCCCAUAAAAUGAAAAGAAAAGGAUGUCGGUCGCCUUCCAGAGUUUCCAGGGAGGCUGGAGAGGUAUGGUUGGGAGCGGGGCAGGGACCAGAGAAGCGUCGUGGGGAGGACGCGGCGGCUACCUCUGCCGGGCAGCGCGGGCCCUGGCCGGCACCGCCUUCCCCGCCGUGGCGUCCUGGGAGCUACCGGGGAGCACGCGCUCUCCGCCCUCCCUGCGUCUUUUUGUGGUGGCCCCNNNNNNNNNNNNNNNNNNNNNNNNNNNNNNNNNNNNNNNNNNNNNNNNNNNNNNNNNNNNNNNNNNNNNNNNNNNNNNNNNNNNNNNNNNNNNNNNNNNNNNNNNNNNNNNNNNNNNNNNNNNNNNNNNNNNNNNNNNNNNNNNNNNNNNNNNNNNNNNNNNNNNNNNNNNNNNNNNNNNNNNNNNNNNNNNNNNNNNNNNNNNNNNNNNNNNNNNNNNNNNNNNNNNNNNNNNNNNNNNNNNNNNNNNNNNNNNNNNNNNNNNNNNNNNNNNNNNNNNNNNNNNNNNNNNNNNNNNNNNNNNNNNNNNNNNNNNNNNNNNNNNNNNNNNNNNNNNNNNNNNNNNNNNNNNNNNNNNNNNNNNNNNNNNNNNNNNNNNNNNNNNNNNNNNNNNNNNNNNNNNNNNNNNNNNNNNNNNNNNNNNNNNNNNNNNNNNNNNNNNNNNNNNNNNNNNNNNNNNNNNNNNNNNNNNNNNNNNNNNNNNNNNNNNNNNNNNNNNNNNNNNNNNNNNNNNNNNNNNNNNNNNNNNNNNNNNNNNNNNNNNNNNNNNNNNNNNNNNNNNNNNNNNNNNNNNNNNNNNNNNNNNNNNNNNNNNNNNNNNNNNNNNNNNNNNNNNNNNNNNNNNNNNNNNNNNNNNNNNNNNNNNNNNNNNAAUUCUCCUCCCCAAAGGCAGGUUGUUUCUUGUAUACCCAUCCAGAGGUAUUCUGUGUGUGUGUGUGUGUGUGUGUGUGUGUGUGAACAGCAGAAGGAUGCACCUGGGUGGCUCAGUCAAUUAAGCAGCUGACUCUUGAUUUCAGCUCAGGUCAUGAUCUCACAGUUUGUGAGAUCAAGCCCCACGUCUUGAUGGAUUCUCUCUCUCUCCCUUUCUCUCUGCCCCUCCUUGGUUCUCUCUCUCUCAAUAAAUAAAUAAAUAAACGUUAAAAAAAAUUUUUUUUUUAAAUUUUUUUUUUCAACGUUUAUUUAUUUUUGGGACAGAGAGAGACAGAGCAUGAACGGGGGAGGGGCAGAGAGAGAGGGAGACACAGAAUCGGAAACAGGCUCCAGGCUCUGAGCCAUCAGCCCAGAGCCCGACGCGGGGCUCGAACUCCCGGACCGCGAGAUCGUGACCUGGCUGAAGUCGGACGCUUAACCGACUGCGCCACCCAGGCGCCCCUAAAAAAAAAAAUUUAAAAAGAAACACACAUUCCAAGGGAAACCAGGGGACUCUACAAAUCAAAAACUUAAAAUAGGAAUGAGAUAAAGACGACCACUCUACCUACAGAAAAAAACAGAGCAUCCCCAAAAAUUAAAAAAAAAAAAAAUGCCUGUCUUACCUUCUCCUUCAUUAAAACUGAGGAGUAAGCAGUGCCUUUUCAAAUAACUCUCCAGGAGCCAAGCGCAAAGUUUGGGACAAACCGUGGACUUGCCUGUCAUUUCUGUAAGGACUGUGCGUGAUGUUCACCACGAGCCCCUGGGGUGGGGAAGAGGGCUCUGCAUCAAGGAACAGACCGAUGGUGAAGGCAGCACCGGAAAGCCCAUCAUUUCUUCAGCCCAUACACACCCACGAGUUGGGUAUGCCAUUUGUUCAGUUGGCCUACGAGAAUAGGUUCCUAUUAACUAACUUUUUUUUUUAAUUUUUUUUUUGUUAACGUUUAUAUAUAUUUUUUUGAGACGGAGAGAGACAGAGCAUGAAUGGGGGAGGGUCAGAGAGAGGGAGACACAGAAUCGGAAGCAGGCUCCAGGCUCUGAGCUGUCAGCACAGAGCCCGACCCGGGGCUCGAACUCAUGGACCGCGAGAUCAUGACCUGAGCCGAAGUCGGCCGCUUAACCGACUGAGCCACCCAGGCGCCCCUGUUAACUAACUUUGAUCCUAGUGAUCUGGAGCCGUCCAUAGGAAACCAAGAGGGUUGACAGACACAUUUGUUGCCUAUUUCAGGUACUCCCCAAAGGUUUGGUGCUGUGAGGGGUGACGGGGCGGGGAGGGAGGAGACGGAUAUGCCAGCAAAAUCGGUAUUCCAGGCAAACAGUCUGAGGGCCAUGCUGCAGGGGGUUAGCUCUGAUUGUUCUAGAUAAUGAGCGUGUGCUACGUCCUCAUAUAUAUUUACAUUAUAAAUGUAUAAAGGCACACGCACACACAGCAAUAUCUUUAAUUUGAGCAAGUAAGACAUUUCGGCUCCCUACCUUUGGCUAAUUCUCUAAGCUGCGAGGUUUAUUGUGCUGUAGAAUACUCCUCCACCUGGAUGUAAAGCAAUUUGCAUUUCCUCUAGUGUGAAACCAAUUCGCCGCAGGUAUAGACCCAAGUAAUUACAAAUAUCAGAUGCAAGUUUAGUAAUUGCAUGUCUUGUCUGAAAGUGGUAUUCAUAGAAAAUAUAACUUGAGGGGAGCAUAUCAAGAGUUUGUUUGCCUGAAGAACAAAGCCCUCGCAGAUAGCUGGUGAGCUGCGAUCAGGUUGAAAAGUCAGUCUAAUCUCUACGUUUAACGAGGUUGAUGAAGAAAACUCAUUAAUUCCAAUUUUUGGAGAAAUAUGUUCACGCUGGGCAUGGAGGAAAGGAGGACUUAAACAGGUGGCCUGAGAUUCGGGAAAAAGCCCGACUGGUUUUAAACUGCAACUCGGAACGAAGACAGAAUGUUGAUACUAUCAGCGUCUGGCAGGCAGCUCGGUGGAAUAUUUAGCCUUGCUAGAUCGGGCUUCAUACCAACCAGACGAGGUUUAUUUCGGAAACUGGAAAUCUGAUGGAGAUAUGACGGAGAUAUGAGGGCAAUAACCCUAAGCUGGCCCAAAAGAGUGCUGUGUGCAGGUGAUUUGGGGGUGUGGUGGGGGUGAUAUGGGGGAAGAAAGGCAGAGAGGUUUAUGAUUGAUUUUUUUUAAUUUUUUUUAACGUUUAUUUAUUUUUGAGACAGAGAGAGACAGAGCAUGAGCGGGGGAGGGGCAGAGAGAGAGGGAGACACAGAAUCGGAAACAGGCUCCAGGCUCCGAGCCAUCAGCCCAGAGCCCGACGCGGGGCUCGAACCCAUGAACUAUAAGAUCAUGACCCGAGCCGAAGGCGGACGCUCAACUGACUGAGCCACCCAGGUGCCCCAGGUUUAUGAUUAAUUUGAAAGAAGUUAAGACAUAUCUCUUACCUUUAAAUAAUUUAAAUAGAAGCUUUCUGGGAAAGAAAGGCAUCUUAAUAAAGUCAAAUAAUCCAAUUGGCUCUUCUGCCAUUUCGGGUCUUUUCGGUCUCUGUCGUGUCCACUGAUGUAAGUCCUAUUCCCUGGGUCUCCUCUGCAGAAAAAACUCAAUCCUUCCUUCCCAUGACCAGUGACACUGUUGAAGGCAGCUGUGGUAUGUUCUGUAAUUGUCUCUUUUGAGGAUCGGAUACCCCUGUUUCCUUCAAACCUUCCUCUUCGUAUAUUCAGCCAUUUCCUCCGCCUGUUUCGUUUCCCGGAAUUCAUUCGUCAGACAUUUAUUGUGUACUAACUGUAUGCCAGGCGUGCCCAAAGCUAGGGUUCUGAAUCAAAAAGGAUCUAUUCCCUUCCAUAAAGGAGGGCUGAGGCUAGUCGUGAGACAAAUGCAAAAUCUGUGCCAGAAUAGGUGCUAUACUAGGGAUAUGCAUAGAGUCUUGCGGAAGAAGCGUUUGUCUGUUUUGUGCAGAAAUAAGCAAAAUGUGCCGGGUAGGGUUUGAUACAGAGCAGAGAGGGUCUCUUGUGUCUUAGGAUUUAAAAUCUCUCAUCUGCGACUAUCCUUGUGUGCCCCUUUUCAUACCUAAUGCCAUUUAUGUAUGACUUUGAUCUCUGUUUCUUUGUCAUACUUGUCAAAAAUUGUUUAUUUUAUUAUUAUUAUUUUUAUUUAUUUAUUUUUUUAAUGUUUAUUUGAGAGAGAGAGAACAUGAGCAGGGGAGGGGCAGAGAGAGAGGAAGAGAGACAGUCCUAAGCAGGCUCUGCAAGUCAGUGCAGAGCCUGAUGCAGGGCUUGAACUCAGACUGUGAGAUCACGACCUGACCUGAAAUCAAGAGUUGGUGGCUUAACUGACUGAGCCACCCAGGCACCCCAAUUCUUAUUUUUAUUUUUAAUAAAAUAAAUUUUAUUUCAUUUUUAUUAUUUUAAUAAUUUUAUCAUUUAAUAAUAUUUUAUUAUUAAUAUCUUCUUUUAUUGUACCAACUCCUUCUACUUUAAAAAAUGAUUUUUGUGUCGCUUAUAGCUUUCUGGGUUUAUUUUCAGCCUUCUUGAUCUCUAGUAUAUUCUUUUAAUUCUAUACGUUUACUCUGGGUACUGCUUUAGCCACAUUCCAAAGAUUGUUUUUUUUAAUGUUUAUUUAUUUUUUGAUAGAGAGAGAGAGAGAGAGAGAGAGAGAGAGAGACAGAACAUGAGUGGGGGGAGGGCUAGAGAGAGAGGGAGACACAGAAUCCGAAGCAGGCUCCAGGCUCCGAGCUGUCAGCACAGAGCCCGACGUGGGGCUCGAACCCAUGAACCGUGAGAUCACGACCUGAGCCGAAGUCGAACACUUAACCGACUGAGCCACCCAGGUGCCCCAACUCCAAAGGUUUUGGUGUAUGAGGUUCUCGUGGUUGCUCAGUUAUAAACAACUUGUAAAGUUGGCUUUGUCCCACCCCAAAGUUCUCGCAGUGACUCUCCUCAGAUCCUGACGUCCCUGCCAAGGGGACGCUUGGAGCACUCACCCCUGCAGAGGGCCACCCUCCUCACAGCGUCCCUUUGCCCUCCACAGCCAUUUUGAAGGGAGCAGCAACAUUGGCGCUAAUUAGGGUGGACGGUGAGGGGAGCUGGCAAAUGGGUAUGUUUUUCUUCGCCGUGUUGCCAACGUGAGAAAUCGAGCUUGGAGAAAGACCCGUUGCCAGAACUAGUUAAAACAAGAAUGUUGAUUGCGUCCGGAUUUCAUCAGAAUGUGAUGAGGUGCAUCAUUAAGCAAGGUGGGAGGCGGUGGACUCGUGAACAUCUAUUCUCCUCACCCAAAGCGGCAGGGUUCAGCGUGAGCACAGGUGAUCCUCGUAAAGCUCUGUUUCAGGUGGGUGCCUGCUGGGCUGGCGCUCAAGGCGAUGAUGUCGCCCAUUGGGUCCUUGCUCUGUUCCCUCCCUUCUUAAAAUCACUUUGCCUUCUGAACGCAGUGGUCUCAUGUUCCUCUUACCCCUUUUCCUAUGGAAAGCCGCCCUUAAGAAAGGAUCUGGAAAGUCCGAGAUACAAAUGAUGGAUACUUGACGUACUGCCUCAUCCAGACGGACACUCGUUUUAAAGGGAACACAAAACCUGAAGUUGAAGGAAAUCAGCGUGAUUUGUAGACCUUCCAUCGUUGGUCGUACGGGGGACUAUUUGUAGGCAGCAGGAGAUCCAGACUCUCGUGUGGGUGGGGGCUUGGCUAGGAUCUUAAGUGGAUGAAGAAGUUUAGGUGGUUCUCCCUCAGAGGCCAUCCCCGCCCCCCCCGCCCCCCGGGGACCUUCAGCUGUAUCUGGAGACAUUUUUGGUUGUGCUAACUGCUGUGGAGGGUACCUACUACUGGCAUCUAGUGAGUAGAGGCCAGGGAUGCUGUUAAACAGCUUACAAUGUGUAGGACAGCAUCCCCCCGCCUCACCAAGAAUUAUCUGAACCCAAAUGCCAAGAGUUCCGAGGUUGAGAAAGCUUGGCUUAGAGAGACGUGUAUUUGGUAGUGACAUUGGACCCCGUAUUGAAGAUAGAGCAGGGAGAGCUUCAGUGUGCUGACUGGACAGCACCUUCCUUGAAUAAAAGGGCUCUCACUCUUAAAUUUUUUUUUUCAACGUUUAUUUAUUUUUGGGACAGAGAGAGACAGAGCAUGAACGGGGGAGGGGCAGAGAGAGAGGGAGACACAGAAUGGGAAACAGGCUCCAGGCUCUGAGCCAUCAGCCCAGAGCCUGACUCGGGGCUCGAACUCCCGGACCGCGAGAUCGUGACCUGGCUGAAGUCGGACGCUUAACCGACUGCACCACCCAGGCGCCCCAUAAAGGGCUCUCACUCUUCAGCAGUCAACUUAUUGUCCCAUGACCCAGUGUAGACAGAUCUUCUGACUUCUUCGGAGAAUUAAAACAAAACAAAACAAAACAAAACAAAAACAUCUUUUUACAUGAAAUUUCUACAUUUAAAAAUAGCAAGCAUUAGUCCAAAUGAACAAUGGUUCAGGGAGCCACACUAGACUCGGCUUCCCAGUGGCUACUUACAAGCCCUGACCCAGACGGUCCUGCCCCAGCCACGUAGUUUUGGGCUCUAAAUCCAGGGCUUCGACGUAUCUGGAAAUUUGUGGUCAUCUGUCCUGUCCCCAAAGACCACGACCGUACUACUGAGGCAGUAGCCAAAGAGAGGUCUGCUUCAGCUGUGUGUGUGUGUGGGGGGGGGGGGGUGGAGUAUGAAUGUUCUAAAACUGUUCUAGCACCAUUUGACAUAGUUUCCCAAAGCAAUUUUACCUGUUCCUCUUGUAAAAAUCUCUUGGGUUCUGGAUUCAGAUUCUGGACAUUUCAGAUUCUGGACCUUUCUCUCACUAAUCCAAGUAUCUACUUGACAGAGUUGUUGCAAGGAUUAAGGAAGAGAAUAUACAUGAAAGUCUGUAGUGUAGAGUUGUGUGACACUGAAAGAAUUGUUAGCGGACCCAGAUGCAAAGAUAAUACGACACUGUUUGACUGAGACUGUAGGUUUUUGUUUUGGGUGUUUUUGUUUUGUUUUGGGUGUUUUUUUUUUUAACUGGGUAGAAUCAGUGACCAGCUCCUGGGAUAAUGAGGUGAGUUCACUCAGCUUGAAUCUGGAGGGUAAACACAUGUCCUUUGUGUCUGGGAGGUAUGCUUGAGAUUUCCUUUGUCUCUCCCUGCUUUGGGGAAAAGCAAAUUUGGCAUGGCCUUUGAAUGUCUGACUCCCCCACACUUUUUUUUUUCUCUAGCGUGGAAGCUUUGUGAAUUUGCCUUGUUAAAAACAAGCCCCAUCUUCGUACCUGCUGAAACCUAGUUCUCGUCCAGAGGCUAUGCGAUGAACAAAGGGGGCUAGUAAUACCGACCGCACGGGGUGCAGACAGCCCGGCCCACGCAGGUACACCGCUCCAGCCGGGGAGGGCGGCUGUGUGUAAAGGACGCCUUUUAUUGUGACUCUUUCACCUCCCCCAGCCCAGCCCUGAGCCAUGAGAAGAGGAGCGUCGUCAAAGAGACAGGCCAAUUUUACCCAUCUUACACAAUAGCGCAUUACAGACUUUCCAAGAAG
rnacentral:lncRNA from 1 species